rnacentral:lncRNA from 1 species
CACAAACACAUACGGUUCAGAGAAGGCGCCGGUUUGGCGGCUGCGAAAGAAAAAGUGCGCGGCGAGAUGGGCAUAGACCGGACUCGUGAGAAGGUAGAGCUGACAUACGAGAUGCCGCAGUGGAUGGACGUUGACGGAGCUGUUAAACCGGUCCCAAUCCACAUUGCGACUGACGACGAUAUGGACAUGUUCCUCGCUAUGCGUAUGGAUAUCCACGAGAUGAAGCUUUACGUAGUCCCAAUGGAUCUGACGAUGACCCUGGAAAUAGAUGGGUUUAAGGUGGUACCGAUUCUAGACGAAUUCGCGUUUGCGGAAGUCAUGAGCAAAGACGAGGUUGAGAAGGAAAGGAGGCGGCGAGCAGACAAGGCCGUGGGAGACAGCAUCAUCUGCACACAGGUUCCGCCAGAGCAAGUAGCGGACAGUGAUGAUGGACCCUUAGGCUGGGUGGGCCAUACUUACGCCGCAGGUGGAUUUGCAACCCUCUCCUCAGCCUUGAGAUACUAUAAAUCUAAUACCAACGCUAACGAAGCAGGGAGAUCCCCGGCGACGGUGUUGAACCCAGAGAGUAGCUCAUCGACGGACGACCACGACCUCCGCGUGACUCGCCUGACGAGGGAUUUGUUCUCUGAAUUCGAGAAAGGUGAGGAAAAUAGGUGUUAUGUAGCAUUAUAACUUUUUAAAAAUAUAUGUAGAUAUGUAACUUGGUCAGCGAUUUAUUUGCUCAGCUGGAAGCACCAGUGGGGGUAAAGUUACGGCGGCAGAGGAAGAUACUACUGCCGGGGUUCAAGCAGGAAUGCAAGAAAAUGUUACACCAACACGUGGGGCUGGUAUGUUCUAAAUCCAAAACACAUAGCUACACAUUUAAUACUGAACAAUGCAUACUAAUGGACAAAUUUACAGGUGAGCAAGACCUCCCUCACACCACCAACAAUCAGACGCCGGCGACGCCUAUGUCAUCCAUGUUGCAGCUGCUUGAGAUACCGGAGCACACAUUUGCACGUGACGCAGCGCCGGUUAUUGAUGACACUGACUUAGAGGGUAAUGUUUACUACUUCAAAUAAUGAGUGUCUAAGUAAAUUUAUAACAUAAUACGUGUUAUAUGUACAAAGUUAUUUAACUAAAUGGGGCUUCAUUUAUAUACAGGUGGGGAAAGAACAAGACUGGUCGUCCUAGAUGUGGACUACGAAGGGGACGCGCUAUUCGUUGGUAGGGUUUUCAAGAACCGAGAUGACUGCAAGGUUAAAAUAGCCGUUCAUGCCAUCAACAGAAGGUUCAGUUACCGUAACGAGCGCACAACAAACGACGUAGUCAUUGUACGGUGCGUCUCCGACGCUUGCCCAUGGAGAGUUUACUGUGUCCGCCUAGAAGAUACAGAAUACUUUGAGGUGCGGACCGCUAUGUUAGAACAUAACUGCCCUGUGGAAGUGAGAAGUCAAUACCAACGACAAGCAACCACCUCCGUCAUCUCUCAGAUCAUGAAGGCCAAGUACGCCGGAGCAGCACUAGGACCGAAUCCAAUAGGCAUCCAGCGAGCUUUGAUGGACGAGUACAGUGUCAACGUGUCUUAUUGGAAGGCCUGGCGAGCCAGAGAAUUGGCAGUGGACAUGGCUAAAGGUUCAACAACGGGAAGCUACGGGAUCCUACCAGCUUACUUACACAUGCUAUCUAAAGCCAAUGUGGGUACGGUGACGGAGUUACACACGGAGGCAGACAAUAAUGGGGAGAGAAGAUUUAAAUAUUGCUUUGUUGCACUAGGGGCGAGUGUUAGAGGGUGGAAGUUUAUGAGAAAGGUGGUCAUAAUCGACGGAGCACACUUGCGCGGUAAGUACGCUGGUUGCCUCCUCACCGCUAGCGCACAAGACGGCAACUUUCAGAUAUUCCCUAUAGGAUUUGGGAUCGUAGACGGGGAAAAUGACAAGGCGUGGGAAUGGUUCUUCGAGUGCCUGAAGCAAAUCAUUCCGGAUGAGGAAGACUUGACAUUUGUAUCGGACCGCCACAAUUCAAUCUACAGCGGGCUCACCAAGGUAUAGAGACUAAUAAUUUUUAAUAAAGUGUUACAUAAAAAUAUACCGCGCUAAUUAUUAUAAUACACAUACACCAUUAUAUUUACAUAUUCAAACUGACAUUUUCGCUGCAGGUGUACCCAAGAGCGGCGCAUGGCGCAUGCAUCGUGCACCUCCAACGGAACGUGGCGGCGAAAUUUAAGCAGCGGCUACUAGCACCACUGAUUUCCAAAGCCGCAAGGGCUUUCAAAAAAACAACUUUCAAAGAGCACUUUGAGGAAAUAGAGCGGGUGUCUCCACGGUGCGCAGAGUACCUCCUGGCAAUCGGAUGGGAACAUUGGACAAGGUCCCACUGCAAUGGACAGCGAUACAACAUCAUGACUUCGAAUGUGGCUGAGUCGCUGAACGCGGUCCUAAAAGAGGCACGUGAGCUGCCUAUUGUAUCCACACUCGAGUAUAUCCGAGCCACUCUCAUGACAUGGUUCUCCAAGAGGAGGGAAAAGGCAGCGCUACACUCAAUGCCCUUAACUCCAAAGGUGGAGGAGCUGGUUUUGAAAAACUACGAACGCAGUACGUCCUACGAGGUGAUAAGGAUCACUCCCGAGCAGUAUGAGGUGAAAACAACUACGGGGUUAUCUUACAUUGUGGACCUCCAUAAUAAGAUAUGCACCUGCGAGGAGUUCACAAUGGUUAAGAUACCAUGCAGCCACGCAAUAGCCGCUGCAGUCCGGUGUGAUAUGAGGGUCCCCGACCUAGCAGCUCCAGAAUAUGGAAGCUUCUUCUGGACUCUCGCAUACAACGGAGGCAUCCACCCAGUCCCAGACCUUUGCACUCUGCGCAAUGUACCGGAUGGGGUAGCGACCUUGAAUGUCUUGCCACCACUCACCCGAAGGCCACCAGGUAGGCCAAAACGAUCUAGAUUCCUUUCCGCAGGGGAGUGUAAGGUAUAGUUACCUAAAUUAGCAGUCUACCAUUUAAUAUAUCAGCGUAUAUGGGUUAAUUUGAGUAUACAUAACAUUUAAAGCAGAAAUCAACAAAGAAGACGAAACGGAGCUGCACGCGUUGCCAUGGGCUUGGUCAUAAUCGUGCCACCUGCAAGAUGCCGAUAUAAAUAAGAAGCUAUGUAUGGUAAGAUAUUAAUCCCUAACAUACGGUGGUUUACAUUGUCCACUACAUAAGUUGUCCACUUAUAGCUAUCUAACAAAUGGUUCUUUAAAUUCAACAGAUAAGAAAGCUGUCCCUUUUGCAUGUGUAAGAACAGCUCGGCGAUCUAAGAUGAAAUGGAAACGGAAGAAAUCAAGCGGCUAAUUUUCCUUGUAAAAUAUUAGUGCCGCCUGUUAAAAACUUGUUAAUGUUUUGUAAAACGAUGAUGAACUUGGCACAACGGGUGUAUUGCGUUGAUCGUGUGAGUCCGCACGCCUAUGAAUGUAAUAUAUUUCAUUUCAUGAAUGUCUAUCUACUUAGCCUUCUACAUUAUAGAUUGAAAACCAAAAGUGGAUACCUAAAAAAGUACGUAAAACGGGUGAACGCAUUACUGAUGGGAAGCCGAAUUUUUUUUUUUUUUUUUAAAAAAAAUUAUUGCAACUUGGAUAACGUAGUUUUACUCAGACAUUAUAUGAAUAUCCAAACGAUAAUGCCUCUUGAAGAUAACGCUACACUAUGUGAACAGAUAUGAUGGAUGUGACGAGACGAACUAGGGAACCUAGUUUUGUAGAGCUCCCUGCUACGAGAACACAAUAAAUGCCCACCGCGUGAAGUUGUGGGGUCCGCCACGUUGGAAAAAACCGCCUGAUAUUUCUUGAGAGGUUGGAGCCUGUAAGUUUAAGAAGAAAAAAAGGUUUAGGAUAACAGCUUAUGUGUUGGAGAAAAUGAUGCCGAAAAACAAGAGCAGCUCAUCAGGAAGUGGAUCAAGUUCAACGGUGGGAGACCGAAGCAUUGUCCAACGAGAAGGCGGUUUUCUCUGCUACUGCGGUAAAACAGCAGUACUUUGUCAGGCUUGGACGGACGCUAAUCCAGGGAGAAGAUUUUACGGGUGCGGCGAAGGGUAUAAAAAUGUAUGCGACUAUUUUCGCUGGCGGGAUGUAGAGAAGCCGUAUGGAUGGCAGAAAGUAGCGUUACUCGAGGCGAGGGACUUGAUUCGGGAACAGGCGGAACAGAUCGCUAGGCUACGCGCGCUGGGAACUUGUGGCGGCGAGGGAGACGAAACCCAACAAACUCAAGAAAUGGUUGCUCUCAUUGAAAGGCUGAAAAAAGAAAACGAAGUCCUGCAGGUGGCAUUAGGGAAGAUGAGGGCGAAGGAGAAAAUGAUUAGGACUAUGGGCAUGGUGUCGUUGCUAGGUUUCGUGUUGGGUGUGGCCGCCGUCAUCCACAGCAGGAGUGCUGCUCGGAUGGAGUUGCCCUAACUUACAUCUGGUUGGAUGAAAUUAACUAUUUGGUAUCUCUGAAUUUUCAUAUGUUUGAAAGUACCUAUGUUACAUAUGGACUGUUAAAUAUUUAAGUAAUCUUCUAUUUUCAUUAAUAAGGCUUUAAUUGUUAAAAAUGCUGUGCGCACGGUGCAACACUUAGUGUUUUAAUCCAAAGAAAUUAAAUAACUACAACUAAUAUUGCCAGUCCAUGUUUCUCUAUAAGUAUCUAUGAUAGCUGGUGGAUAGUUAAAUAAUAAUGUACGCUUCAAACUUAAGGUAUGAAUAUGAUAUAUUGCAAACAAUUGUCCGAAUAUGUAACAGUUAAAAGUCAAAGACAUAUGGAAAUAAACACACUUCAAGGUUCAAACCACAUCAUCCACUCGCACAGAUAUGGUACAAAGACACUAGUAAAACAUCCUAGAGUCGUGAAGCAAAAAACAACAAAAGAAGAAAUAAGGUUCAACAUAACAGAAAGGGAAAGAAAUUGACAAAGCCGAAUAGUUGCAAAAAAAAAAGAUAAAUUAGAGUCGAGGAGGGUACACCAAUGAGUAAGGCCACAUCAGCCAUCAAAGUUCACCACAACAGUGCUCGUACAUCUGCACCACCAACUCCUCAGCACGCAGGCGCAUGCCAUCUUCCUUAACAUGCACCGCUUUGUCCAUCCCGCCUGUAGCAUAUGCUUCCAGCAAUAACAAGGAGAGCAUCCCACUGUUAGCUAUGUUAGUCGCUUGGGAAACAUGUGUGUUCCUAGCAAAGGUGAGUGGCUGAAGCGGGAAAUUCUUCAUUAGAUCAGAGCCACCAACCUUCCGUACCAGAUAAGGAAACAUCUCGCAUAUAAACUCGAGCUCAGGCUUAAGACGGGAUCCCCGGCGUGCAGCAGCAGUUGGAUCAAGCACAGUGAGAGUGUGAGAGGUCAGGUCAAUGUGAACAGCUAUCCACCUAUUUUUAUCAAUGUUAAAUGGAGAGAGCAAAUGAUCAAUGUGCGACAGCCAAACUCUGCCUGUUGCCUUAAACCUCGUAGUGAUCUCAUUGAUAAGAGCGGGAUAAAACUCAAAAGUUUCCUUCCGCUUCACCUUCUUGAACUUCGCAUACAGAACCGCCAACGAGCCAUAGAACUUACACGGAAGCAAAUCAGCACGAGGAUCAGAAGCAGGAUCAGUGUUGUCAAACAGGGUCUCACGUAAGACAGAUACACAAGCGUCCAUUACCUAUGGAAACAUAAAAAACCAUAAGCCAAAUGUAAACAGCUGCAACAUAUGGAAGGAAGGGUACUAACAUUGGGAUAGCCAGGAGGGAUGAUAGUGGGUAUCAUGAGCAACUCAGAGUCCUUGAUCACUAAACCAUCACCGAAUGCCCUACACAAAGUUCAUGAAAUGUCAUAGGUGUUCAUUAAAUAAUAUGAAUCUGUAAAUAGAUUAAAGGAGAUCUACAAACCCUGCCUACACAGGAGCUUUAAAGAAAUUAAAGCAAGCAGACAAAAGUAGAAAAACUUACAUAGGCGGUAUGUCAAGGACCAUCAACUUCUUGUAGUUUGCAGACAUGGCGACAGCGUCUCCCCCAGCUACAAUCUGACCAUCCCCGCAAUCUCCUCCCAUUGAAGCUUCCUCGAUCUUGGAAAAAGUAUAUGAAUAGGAAGAGAGGUGGGUAGUAGAGAGUGUAAAAAACAGGUAAUCAAGAUAAAUAACAUACCACUUCAUCAGCAGGAGUCCUGCUGCGCGACCCAGAUGAUUCAGAAAAAGCGGUACCCUAAAAAAAGAAAAAAAGUUAUUAAGGCAUCAAUGAGUGAGUAAACUUAGAAUAUCAAAUAGUAAUAACCUCAACAGGCCCGGCAUUUUGUUCAUUUGCGAGUGGUGGCUGCUGCUGAGAGGGGCGUUGACACUGGUCAGAAUGGUUUUCAGGAGCUACCACCACUGGAGAUGGUUGAGGAUCAGUCUGCCUAAUAGAAGGAGAAGGAGAACUUGGGGAUUUGUUGUAAGGCUGACCUACACCUAUGCCAACCUCGCGCAAAACAUUCUCCACCACGACCCCGCUAAUGGCUGCAGCAACCGCAGAAUUGAUAUUUUCCUUGAGGGAGCGUUCCAACCUCAGUUCCAUGGACUUCAGUUCAACACAGAUAUGGGCAUACACAUCAGACUGGGCCUCUUUUAAAGCAGCUUUCAAAGCUGUGGCAGUGUCCAGAGUCGCCCUAGGGGAGUCUAGGGAGGCAAAUCUAGAACGUGCAGCACGAACCUUAGAUUUUUUGGCCCGGGAAGACUGUCCCCUAGAGGUGGAACAUUCAGACGGUUUGGCCCGCAAUUUACGUUUCCUUUUGACAAUAACCCGAGGAGGAGACUCUACUUGCACAUCAGCUCCUCUAAUACCACCACCAAACAUCUCACGCUUAAACUUGACUCCAUCAUCCAAUUGUUGCAGCAUCAAGUCAACACUUGGAUCACUUACUUCAUCCGGCCAGCUACAGUCUUCUAUACCAACAACAUUUUCACAAUCGGGAAGUACAGACAUAACCUCAACCUAGUCCAUAUGUGCACAUAAAUUUGUUAGCUAUUCAUUAUUUAAAAUGAAGUGCUAUAAUUAAACGUAAACCAUCACAUACCUCGUCAACUCCAUCCAAGUCCCAGACCGGUUCAAGUUUCAUUGCUAUGACAGGGAAAGGAUCUUCAUCACCAGACUCGGGGUCAGUGCCAGCACCAACAGCAGAGAGCACACCGGGGACAGCUUCGACAUACACAAGAACUCCUGCGUGAAUAAUCCUUGAAUGGCGACAGUAGCCUGUGCAAGCUGGUCUAAAGAUCGCGACUUGAUGCAGCGCAUGGUCAGGUCAAAACUGUAGCGGCCCCAGGGAUAUGCUAGCACGCAUCCAAGUCGCGAUCAUCUCACNNNNNNNNNNNNNNNNNNNNNNNNNNNNNNNNNNNNNNNNNNNNNNNNNNNNNNNNNNNNNNNNNNNNNNNNNNNNNNNNNNNNNNNNNNNNNNNNNNNNUGAUCUCUUCUUAGUGUUUUUAUAAGAAGAUGUGGAAGAAGAACAAUAAACGUAUUGGACUACAUAGACCAAAUACGUAUUAUUGCGUUUAAUAAUGAGAGAAUUAGCGCAGAGGUAGAAAUGGGAGAGUAAAUUAGCUAAUCGACAAUAGCGUUGGACGUCCAAGACAAUGGUACAAAAAACUUGCUAAAGAGGCUCGGGUAUUGAAUUAAUUACCAAAAAACCUGACAUCACCGUCAACAUGCGCGUGGGGGUAGUUCCGUUGCCUCUUCGAAUGGGCGGAAACACAUUCUGACAUGCAUUAAAUGAACUGCGGAUGAAGUGAGUGUUAUUCGGCUGCAAAAGGAAUGAAGCGACGCACAUUUAAUGGCUUGAUUUGGGAGAUAUCGGCGAAAUUUAAAACGAAGAUUUUGGCGGGAUUUGCAAUUUUAAAGUGGUAAGGCACAUUGUGGAGACCUAAUAAAUAGGGGGUGGAUGGGAGAGUUAAAACGUAGAGUCAAGUAAAGAAAAAAAAAAACCAAAAAAAUAGAGUUCAAGGAAAAAACUUCUGCUUCACAUCAAGAGUUAAAGGUAAACAAAAGGUUAACGUUUUUUUAAAACAAAGUUGAAAAAGCAUUAAACUAUAUACUAACUAGGUUUAUAAUUCGCGUGGCGCAAGCUAGAAUUGCGAUGGAGGUUACUAACGAGCUGAUAAGCGACAUGGUACGUGUGGAGCUUGGUAACUGGGAGAAAGAUGACGGCGGUGUAUGGAGAUUCAAACCGUUACCACGAAAGGAGCACAAACACAUACGGUUCAGAGAAGGCGCCGGUUUGGCGGCUGCGAAAGAAAAAGUGCGCGGCGAGAUGGGCAUAGACCGGACUCGUGAGAAGGUAGAGCUGACAUACGAGAUGCCGCAGUGGAUGGACGUUGACGGAGCUGUUAAACCGGUCCCAAUCCACAUUGCGACUGACGACGAUAUGGACAUGUUCCUCGCUAUGCGUAUGGAUAUCCACGAGAUGAAGCUUUACGUAGUCCCAAUGGAUCUGACGAUGACCCUGGAAAUAGAUGGGUUUAAGGUGGUACCGAUUCUAGACGAAUUCGCGUUUGCGGAAGUCAUGAGCAAAGACGAGGUUGAGAAGGAAAGGAGGCGGCGAGCAGACAAGGCCGUGGGAGACAGCAUCAUCUGCACACAGGUUCCGCCAGAGCAAGUAGCGGACAGUGAUGAUGGACCCUUAGGCUGGGUGGGCCAUACUUACGCCGCAGGUGGAUUUGCAACCCUCUCCUCAGCCUUGAGAUACUAUAAAUCUAAUACCAACGCUAACGAAGCAGGGAGAUCCCCGGCGACGGUGUUGAACCCAGAGAGUAGCUCAUCGACGGACGACCACGACCUCCGCGUGACUCGCCUGACGAGGGAUUUGUUCUCUGAAUUCGAGAAAGGUGAGGAAAAUAGGUGUUAUGUAGCAUUAUAACUUUUUAAAAAUAUAUGUAGAUAUGUAACUUGGUCAGCGAUUUAUUUGCUCAGCUGGAAGCACCAGUGGGGGUAAAGUUACGGCGGCAGAGGAAGAUACUACUGCCGGGGUUCAAGCAGGAAUGCAAGAAAAUGUUACACCAACACGUGGGGCUGGUAUGUUCUAAAUCCAAAACACAUAGCUACACAUUUAAUACUGAACAAUGCAUACUAAUGGACAAAUUUACAGGUGAGCAAGACCUCCCUCACACCACCAACAAUCAGACGCCGGCGACGCCUAUGUCAUCCAUGUUGCAGCUGCUUGAGAUACCGGAGCACACAUUUGCACGUGACGCAGCGCCGGUUAUUGAUGACACUGACUUAGAGGGUAAUGUUUACUACUUCAAAUAAUGAGUGUCUAAGUAAAUUUAUAACAUGAUACGUGUUAUAUGUACAAAGUUAUUUAACUAAAUGGGGCUUCAUUUAUAUACAGGUGGGGAAAGAACAAGACUGGUCGUCCUAGAUGUGGACUACGAAGGGGACGCGCUAUUCGUUGGUAGGGUUUUCAAGAACCGAGAUGACUGCAAGGUUAAAAUAGCCGUUCAUGCCAUCAACAGAAGGUUCAGUUACCGUAACGACCGCACAACAAACGACGUAGUCAUUGUACGGUGCGUCUCCGACGCUUGCCCAUGGAGAGUUUACUGUGUCCGCCUAGAAGAUACAGAAUACUUUGAGGUGCGGACCGCUAUGUUAGAACAUAACUGCCCUGUGGAAGUGAGAAGUCAAUACCAACGACAAGCAACCACCUCCGUCAUCUCUCAGAUCAUGAAGGCCAAGUACGCCGGAGCAGCACUAGGACCGAAUCCAAUAGGCAUCCAGCGAGCUUUGAUGGACGAGUACAGUGUCAACGUGUCUUAUUGGAAGGCCUGGCGAGCCAGAGAAUUGGCAGUGGACAUGGCUAAAGGUUCAACAACGGGAAGCUACGGGAUCCUACCAGCUUACUUACACAUGCUAUCUAAAGCCAAUGUGGGUACGGUGACGGAGUUACACACGGAGGCAGACAAUAAUGGGGAGAGAAGAUUUAAAUAUUGCUUUGUUGCACUAGGGGCGAGUGUUAGAGGGUGGAAGUUUAUGAGAAAGGUGGUCAUAAUCGACGGAGCACACUUGCGCGGUAAGUACGCUGGUUGCCUCCUCACCGCUAGCGCACAAGACGGCAACUUUCAGAUAUUCCCUAUAGGAUUUGGGAUCGUAGACGGGGAAAAUGACAAGGCGUGGGAAUGGUUCUUCGAGUGCCUGAAGCAAAUCAUUCCGGAUGAGGAAGACUUGACAUUUGUAUCGGACCGCCACAAUUCAAUCUACAGCGGGCUCACCAAGGUAUAGAGACUAAUAAUUUUUAAUAAAGUGUUACAUAAAAAUAUACCGCGCUAAUUAUUAUAAUACACAUACACCAUUAUAUUUACAUAUUCAAACUGACAUUUUCGCUGCAGGUGUACCCAAGAGCGGCGCAUGGCGCAUGCAUCGUGCACCUCCAACGGAACGUGGCGGCGAAAUUUAAGCAGCGGCUACUAGCACCACUGAUUUCCAAAGCCGCAAGGGCUUUCAAAAAAACAACUUUCAAAGAGCACUUUGAGGAAAUAGAGCGGGUGUCUCCACGGUGCGCAGAGUACCUCCUGGCAAUCGGAUGGGAACAUUGGACAAGGUCCCACUGCAAUGGACAGCGAUACAACAUCAUGACUUCGAAUGUGGCUGAGUCGCUGAACGCGGUCCUAAAAGAGGCACGUGAGCUGCCUAUUGUAUCCACACUCGAGUAUAUCCGAGCCACUCUCAUGACAUGGUUCUCCAAGAGGAGGGAAAAGGCAGCGCUACACUCAAUGCCCUUAACUCCAAAGGUGGAGGAGCUGGUUUUGAAAAACUACGAACGCAGUACGUCCUACGAGGUGAUAAGGAUCACUCCCGAGCAGUAUGAGGUGAAAACAACUACGGGGUUAUCUUACAUUGUGGACCUCCAUAAUAAGAUAUGCACCUGCGAGGAGUUCACAAUGGUUAAGAUACCAUGCAGCCACGCAAUAGCCGCUGCAGUCCGGUGUGAUAUGAGGGUCCCCGACCUAGCAGCUCCAGAAUAUGGAAGCUUCUUCUGGACUCUCGCAUACAACGGAGGCAUCCACCCAGUCCCAGACCUUUGCACUCUGCGCAAUGUACCGGAUGGGGUAGCGACCUUGAAUGUCUUGCCACCACUCACCCGAAGGCCACCAGGUAGGCCAAAACGAUCUAGAUUCCUUUCCGCAGGGGAGUGUAAGGUAUAGUUACCUAAAUUAGCAGUCUACCAUUUAAUAUAUCAGCGUAUAUGGGUUAAUUUGAGUAUACAUAACAUUUAAAGCAGAAAUCAACAAAGAAGACGAAACGGAGCUGCACGCGUUGCCAUGGGCUUGGUCAUAAUCGUGCCACCUGCAAGAUGCCGAUAUAAAUAAGAAGCUAUGUAUGGUAAGAUAUUAAUCCCUAACAUACGGUGGUUUACAUUGUCCACUACAUAAGUUGUCCACUUAUAGCUAUCUAACAAAUGGUUCUUUAAAUUCAACAGAUAAGAAAGCUGUCCCUUUUGCAUGUGUAAGAACAGCUCGGCGAUCUAAGAUGAAAUGGAAACGGAAGAAAUCAAGCGGCUAAUUUUCCUUGUAAAAUAUUAGUGCCGCCUGUUAAAAACUUGUUAAUGUUUUGUAAAACGAUGAUGAACUUGGCACAACGGGUGUAUUGCGUUGAUCGUGUGAGUCCGCACGCCUAUGAAUGUAAUAUAUUUCAUUUCAUGAAUGUCUAUCUACUUAGCCUUCUACAUUAUAGAUUGAAAACCAAAAGUGGAUACCUAAAAAAGUACGUAAAACGGGUGAACGCAUUACUGAUGGGAAGCCGAAUUUUUUUUUUUUUUUUUAAAAAAAAUUAUUGCAACUUGGAUAACGUAGUUUUACUCAGACAUUAUAUGAAUAUCCAAACGAUAAUGCCUCUUGAAGAUAACGCUACACUAUGUGAACAGAUAUGAUGGAUGUGACGAGACGAACUAGGGAACCUAGUUUUGUAGAGCUCCCUGCUACGAGAACACAAUAAAUGCCCACCGCGUGAAGUUGUGGGGUCCGCCACGUUGGAAAAAACCGCCUGAUAUUUCUUGAGAGGUUGGAGCCUGUAAGUUUAAGAAGAAAAAAAGGUUUAGGAUAACAGCUUAUGUGUUGGAGAAAAUGAUGCCGAAAAACAAGAGCAGCUCAUCAGGAAGUGGAUCAAGUUCAACGGUGGGAGACCGAAGCAUUGUCCAACGAGAAGGCGGUUUUCUCUGCUACUGCGGUAAAACAGCAGUACUUUGUCAGGCUUGGACGGACGCUAAUCCAGGGAGAAGAUUUUACGGGUGCGGCGAAGGGUAUAAAAAUGUAUGCGACUAUUUUCGCUGGCGGGAUGUAGAGAAGCCGUAUGGAUGGCAGAAAGUAGCGUUACUCGAGGCGAGGGACUUGAUUCGGGAACAGGCGGAACAGAUCGCUAGGCUACGCGCGCUGGGAACUUGUGGCGGCGAGGGAGACGAAACCCAACAAACUCAAGAAAUGGUUGCUCUCAUUGAAAGGCUGAAAAAAGAAAACGAAGUCCUGCAGGUGGCAUUAGGGAAGAUGAGGGCGAAGGAGAAAAUGAUUAGGACUAUGGGCAUGGUGUCCUUGCUAGGUUUCGUGUUGGGUGUGGCCGCCGUCAUCCACAGCAGGAGUGCUGCUCGGAUGGAGUUGCCCUAACUUACAUCUGGUUGGAUGAAAUUAACUAUUUGGUAUCUCUGAAUUUUCAUAUGUUUGAAAGUACCUAUGUUACAUAUGGACUGUUAAAUAUUUAAGUAAUCUUCUAUUUUCAUUAAUAAGGCUUUAAUUGUUAAAAAUGCUGUGCGCACGGUGCAACACUUAGUGUUUUAAUCCAAAGAAAUUAAAUAACUACAACUAAUAUUGCCAGUCCAUGUUUCUCUAUAAGUAUCUAUGAUAGCUGGUGGAUAGUUAAAUAAUAAUGUACGCUUCAAACUUAAGGUAUGAAUAUGAUAUAUUGCAAACAAUUGUCCGAAUAUGUAACAGUUAAAAGUCAAAGACAUAUGGAAAUAAACACACUUCAAGGUUCAAACCACAUCAUCCACUCGCACAGAUAUGGUACAAAGACACUAGUAAAACAUCCUAGAGUCGUGAAGCAAAAAACAACAAAAGAAGAAAUAAGGUUCAACAUAACAGAAAGGGAAAGAAAUUGACAAAGCCGAAUAGUUGCAAAAAAAAAAGAUAAAUUAGAGUCGAGGAGGGUACACCAAUGAGUAAGGCCACAUCAGCCAUCAAAGUUCACCACAACAGUGCUCGUACAUCUGCACCACCAACUCCUCAGCACGCAGGCGCAUGCCAUCUUCCUUAACAUGCACCGCUUUGUCCAUCCCGCCUGUAGCAUAUGCUUCCAGCAAUAACAAGGAGAGCAUCCCACUGUUAGCUAUGUUAGUCGCUUGGGAAACAUGUGUGUUCCUAGCAAAGGUGAGUGGCUGAAGCGGGAAAUUCUUCAUUAGAUCAGAGCCACCAACCUUCCGUACCAGAUAAGGAAACAUCUCGCAUAUAAACUCGAGCUCAGGCUUAAGACGGGAUCCCCGGCGUGCAGCAGCAGUUGGAUCAAGCACAGUGAGAGUGUGAGAGGUCAGGUCAAUGUGAACAGCUAUCCACCUAUUUUUAUCAAUGUUAAAUGGAGAGAGCAAAUGAUCAAUGUGCGACAGCCAAACUCUGCCUGUUGCCUUAAACCUCGUAGUGAUCUCAUUGAUAAGAGCGGGAUAAAACUCAAAAGUUUCCUUCCGCUUCACCUUCUUGAACUUCGCAUACAGAACCGCCAACGAGCCAUAGAACUUACACGGAAGCAAAUCAGCACGAGGAUCAGAAGCAGGAUCAGUGUUGUCAAACAGGGUCUCACGUAAGACAGAUACACAAGCGUCCAUUACCUAUGGAAACAUAAAAAACCAUAAGCCAAAUGUAAACAGCUGCAACAUAUGGAAGGAAGGGUACUAACAUUGGGAUAGCCAGGAGGGAUGAUAGUGGGUAUCAUGAGCAACUCAGAGUCCUUGAUCACUAAACCAUCACCGAAUGCCCUACACAAAGUUCAUGAAAUGUCAUAGGUGUUCAUUAAAUAAUAUGAAUCUGUAAAUAGAUUAAAGGAGAUCUACAAACCCUGCCUACACAGGAGCUUUAAAGAAAUUAAAGCAAGCAGACAAAAGUAGAAAAACUUACAUAGGCGGUAUGUCAAGGACCAUCAACUUCUUGUAGUUUGCAGACAUGGCGACAGCGUCUCCCCCAGCUACAAUCUGACCAUCCCCGCAAUCUCCUCCCAUUGAAGCUUCCUCGAUCUUGGAAAAAGUAUAUGAAUAGGAAGAGAGGUGGGUAGUAGAGAGUGUAAAAAACAGGUAAUCAAGAUAAAUAACAUACCACUUCAUCAGCAGGAGUCCUGCUGCGCGACCCAGAUGAUUCAGAAAAAGCGGUACCCUAAAAAAAGAAAAAAAGUUAUUAAGGCAUCAAUGAGUGAGUAAACUUAGAAUAUCAAAUAGUAAUAACCUCAACAGGCCCGGCAUUUUGUUCAUUUGCGAGUGGUGGCUGCUGCUGAGAGGGGCGUUGACACUGGUCAGAAUGGUUUUCAGGAGCUACCACCACUGGAGAUGGUUGAGGAUCAGUCUGCCUAAUAGAAGGAGAAGGAGAACUUGGGGAUUUGUUGUAAGGCUGACCUACACCUAUGCCAACCUCGCGCAAAACAUUCUCCACCACGACCCCGCUAAUGGCUGCAGCAACCGCAGAAUUGAUAUUUUCCUUGAGGGAGCGUUCCAACCUCAGUUCCAUGGACUUCAGUUCAACACAGAUAUGGGCAUACACAUCAGACUGGGCCUCUUUUAAAGCAGCUUUCAAAGCUGUGGCAGUGUCCAGAGUCGCCCUAGGGGAGUCUAGGGAGGCAAAUCUAGAACGUGCAGCACGAACCUUAGAUUUUUUGGCCCGGGAAGACUGUCCCCUAGAGGUGGAACAUUCAGACGGUUUGGCCCGCAAUUUACGUUUCCUUUUGACAAUAACCCGAGGAGGAGACUCUACUUGCACAUCAGCUCCUCUAAUACCACCACCAAACAUCUCACGCUUAAACUUGACUCCAUCAUCCAAUUGUUGCAGCAUCAAGUCAACACUUGGAUCACUUACUUCAUCCGGCCAGCUACAGUCUUCUAUACCAACAACAUUUUCACAAUCGGGAAGUACAGACAAAACCUCAACCUAGUCCAUAUGUGCACAUAAAUUUGUUAGCUAUUCAUUAUUUAAAAUGAAGUGCUAUAAUUAAACGUAAACCAUCACAUACCUCGUCAACUCCAUCCAAGUCCCAGACCGGUUCAAGUUUCAUUGCUAUGACAGGGAAAGGAUCUUCAUCACCAGACUCGGGGUCAGUGCCAGCACCAACAGCAGAGAGCACACCGGGGACAGCUUCGACAAACACAAGAACUAGUGCGUGAAUAAAUCCUUGAAUGGCGACAGUAGCCUGUGCAAGCUGGUCUAAAGAUCGCGACUUGAUGCAGCGCAUGGUCAGGUCAAAACUGUAGCGGCCCCAGGGAUAUGCUAGAAAAGCAUCCAAAUCGCGAAUCAUCUCAACGUGAGGCUUGGGGAUCUUCAUGUGGUAGGACCGCCUGGACAAGAAACCAUCAACAAGGAGCAAACAUGCAUAUUUGACACGCAACUCAGGGGACAAGGCUUUCGGUCUUCGCAGCUUCGCAAGUAACAUCUCGCCGGUGAAAUACUCCUCACCACCAAAGAGAGUAAACCAGUACGGGGUAACACCAGGAGGAGAUUUGAGGAGAGACCGGUCCAGAGGCGGUAGAGGGCUGCAGUUGAGACCAGUAACCAACCCGAAUUCCCUCAGAGAGAAUCUUAUCGGCUUCCCGGCGAAAAUGACCCAUAUUUCAUGUCGUUUGACAACAUUCAGCUGGCGGGUGAGGAGAAAGUGCGCCAAUUUACCAGAGAAAACAGGCUUCGAGUAGAUAUCAAGCAGCUUCCCAAAACACGGACGAAUGGUGUCAAGUUCUUCCGGCGUCAACGCCUUAAGCACCGCCUUAAUUGUGUUCAACUUGAAGUACAUGUUCACCCGAUCACCCGCAGGUUCUUCCCUGUCCGCGAAUAGCCGAGAAGGCAAAUCGACAUUUGCCAUGUUCCUGCAGAGAUUUAAGAAAUAAAACAGAGUAAAUUAGAGAUCUACUAAGAAAAUAAACAAACAUGCAUGUUUUAGAAACGGAUCUAUGACAUAUAGGUAGAAAUUAUGGACAUAUAUAAACAUGCAAUACAGAUCUAUGAAAGAAUGUGAAUGCCCAUGUAUAUCCAUGGAUAAAACAUAUAGAUCUAUAGGAAAAUAUGGAGGAUUAAACAGGAAUAUAAGAAUUUUUACAGAUCUAAAAAACAGAUGAAAGAUUACAGACUAUAUGCAUAGUAGGAGGGAACGAUUAUGACGCCAUGUAUGAAGACGAGAAAGAAAACCCGUUAAUCAAUUGGGGAAAUUUUUUUGUCGCCGAACAGAGCAUGUCAAACGAAACGGAUAAAGAUUCUUUCAAAAAUCGAAACGAAAACAAGUUUUUCUGAUGGAUUAAAUGGUGCCGGCUGCGCCGGGGAAAAAAACAACGGCAAAGCAAUAUGCGUUUGCUCACCGUACAAAUCGUCUAAACGGCACCGCCAAGGCUUGAACAGUGUCACACCGUCGUCUCCGGAAGCGACAGAGGAAAGAAUCAGUAGACUGGGAACUGAAGAGAGAGAGAGAGUUUUAGGGUUUUCUGAGUGAAAUGGCGGGAUGAGAAGAAGAGAGAGGAUGAACUAGAAACGUAGCGUCAGACGCCACCCUUUAUGGCCUCGAGAACUGCAAAAUCAGUUCCAAUGUCUCAAGUAUUGGGCUAAGUUUUGGACGACCAUGAAGGAGCGCGUGAGGGUAUAAGAGGCUAAAAAGUGGGCUAAAUAUUUACAAUGUUUUAGGCCCGACAAGAUUAUACCGAAAAUUUUAUUUCACCCCGAUCCUAUGUCUCUCACCCAAUUAUCUCUUUAAUAAUUACAUUUAAUAGUAAUAAUAAUUUUUGUUGGCCAGAGUUGUACGUUUUGUUACUAAAAGAGAGAGAAUCUAUAGGUGAUUAUGCUUUCUCAGUGAAUAAGUUCAGCAUUUUAUUGCUCAACCGUAUAUUUUAUACAAUGAAGAAAGAGAGACCAUUUUAUGCAGCUUGUCUUUCACCAAUAGUCUCCACAGGAGCAAGUUCCAUUCUUGAAAUGAUGGAACCUCCUAACAUCUCUCAAGAUGAUUUCUCUGUCAACAACCUUUGAGAUAAACUUUGUUGCAAGAUGACAGUCAUUACAAACCCUGAGGUUUUUAGCCACCCUAAUAAUUGUACCUGGCGAUGUGUUAAGUAUCCCAAACGCAAUUGCUAGCUUCUCACUGUGUCCACAAAGCAGAAUCUCCUUUUCAUCUUCUUCUACAUUGUGAAGCACACAAGAUGUGUCAGGUAUAUAUCCUUCUUUUCUCAUUCUCUCCCACAAGGUCUCUAGAUAUCCACGGAGCUUUUCGCUUUGCGGGUGAGAUGAGUCACCGGCUACGAAUUUAUGUACUUCAUCGCCAUGCUCAAUCCAGCUACAUCCAGGUUCUUUUCUCACGCCUUGCGCUUUCAUAUUUCUCCUUACCUCUGUUGCUUUAUACCAGAGGCCUGCUGAUGAAUAUAUAUUGGCAAGUAGUACAUAGUGACUAGCUACAUUUGGUUCCAAUUGAAUGAGGUUCUGAGCAGCAAUUUCUCCAAUUUCUAGGUUAUUGUGAAUCCGACAAGCACCAAGGAGGCUACUCCAAGCUCCAGCUUUGUCGAAAUUUCGAGGAAUCAGGUUGAUGAGUUGAUAAGCUUCUUUGACUCUACCUGCCCUUCCUAGCAAAUCUACAACACAAGCAUAAUGAUCUGAGCUAGGCUCAACACCGUAGUCCUUCUUCAUAUUGUAGAAAAUCUUUAAUCCUUCAUUCACCAUGCCUGAGUGGCUACAAGCUGCAAAUACUGAAAUGAAUGUAACCUCGUUUGGUUUUACUCCCUGAACCAUCAUCAUUCUUAGCAUAUCUAUGGCGUCUUGGCUGUUCCCGUGCAUCCCAUAAGCCAUUACAAUCACAUUCCAGGUUAUAACAUUUCUGAUAGGAAUCUGAUCAAAAACUUUUCUCGACAUCUGUAGGCACCCACAUUUUGCGUACAUGUCAACUAAAGCGCUUCCCACAGCCACAUCAGUUGCCAAAUUGUUCUUGAUGGCAUAAGCAUGGAUUUCUUUUCCUUUUGCUAAUGCUGAUAGUGCAGCACAACUGGGGAGGAUUGUCAUCAGAGUGAUGGAAUUAGGUUUCAGACUAACUCGGCUAGCUCGCUCGCUUGCUUUCCUUUCGAGGAUUUGCAUCUUGUGUAGCAUAAGAAGCGCGUCCUCAUGGCGUUCUGAGAAUACAUAACCCGUAAUAAUUGUGUUCCAUGUUACUAAAUCUCUAUCUUCCAUUUUACCGAAUAUCCGCUUGGCGAUAUCGAUCUUUCCCAGCCUAGAAUACAUAUCCAUCAGUGCAUUCUGCACAAACCUGUCUCUAUCUAAACCUCUUUUUACAACAAAUCCAUGGAUAGCUUCCUUUUUGGAGAACGCACCAGAACGAACACAAGCAGGAACAACACCUGCCAUUGUGGUUGAGUUAGCCAGAAGCCCAGCACUUUCUUCCAUUUCAAUAAACAGCAACAACGCUUCCUCGUCAUACUCGUUCUGGGCAUAACCAGUGAUCAUAGCAUUCCAUAGACCAAUCUUUCUAUCAAACAUUCCAUCAAAUACUCGACAACCACUCAAGACUUGCUUGCAAUUGCAAUACAUGUCAACCAAAGCACUGCCAACAAAAGAAUUCUCAUCCAAAGAGCCAUUUUUCAAAGCAUAGGCAUGCAAUUCUUUCCCUGUGCGAAGCAUCUCCAAGUGUGAACAAGCAGGAAGAACACUUGAAAUAGUGAAGCCAUCUGGUUCAACACCUUCAAGCACCAUUUCCCGCAAAUACUCCAAUGCUUCAAGAAACUGCUCGUUCUGACAUAAUGAGCUCAACACAGUGUUCCAUGUGACCAAGUCACGGCCUUCAAAAGAUCCAAGCAAGACUUUGGAAGAUGCUAAUUUUCCCAUUUUACCAUACAUAGCCACCAGUGUGUUGAUAAUAAACGAAUUCAAUUCACCCUUUCUCAAACCAUAGGCGUGAACCUGCUUACCCAUCAAUAAUCCCUCGGGCAUAGGAAAAUUCGAGCAAGCAAGAGCCACACUCACCAAGGUAAACGAACUAGGCUCCACAUCUUCAUCCAACAUACACCGAAAUGCUUCUAACGCCAUUUCCCACUUCUCAAAACUACACAAAGAAGAAAUCAAAGAAUUCCAAGAGACUUGGUUUCUCUCAGAUAUUCUAUCGAACACCUUAUACACAGCCCCGAAAUCUCCACACUUUCUAUACAAAUUCACUAGGGUAUUAGCUACAGUCACGGAAUCCACUCCAUACCCAAAUUUAUACACAUGGGCAUGAAUCUGUUUCCCCAAAUCCAUGUCCUGAAGAUCAGCGACAGCCUUUAGCAAAGCAGGGAACGCAAAAUUAUCGGGUUUUAUACCCAAAACAAUCAUGUCAAUGUAAGUCAAGACGGCUUCACGGAGCAAAUUAGAUCGAACUUUGGACCGGAGCAAGUCAAUCCACCACUCCGGAGAGUGUGAUUGAGAGAUAAAUUUCGAAGGUGCGCCAUAAACGGUGGAGGCAACAUCGUCGGUUACAGAGGUUGGUGUGGCACGAAGAAGGUAAGGAUGUUUCUGGCGGGAAAAUGGAAGCGGUUGAGAAGGAAACGGGAGAGAGAAGGUGAAGGCAAGAGGACAUGACAUGAAGAUAUUUCUCCGAAAAUAUCGUUAUAUAUUUUAUUAACUAUAUAAAAUUCGAGUUUCGUGAAGAUUUCUGAUGUACUGUAUCAGUAAUGCGUAGACGAGGCGAGGAAGACGAUGAAGGAGAUAGAGGAUGUAUAUGGGCCAGAAGGCCUUUAAUGGGCCUAAUAUAUGGGCUCAUCAAUUAUUAUUUCACACUAUUCGCUGCAAUAUAACAGUGUGUGUGUGUGUGUGCGUGCGCAUGAAUUGUAGUAGUGACUAGUGAAAGUUAGAGAGAGAAAGAGGAAUUCAAAAACAAAACAAAAUCAGAUCAUCGCGCCAUUAGCAGAAGCUCAGAGAAAAGCUUCACUCGGAAGAAUAACUCAGAGAUGGCGAAGCAUCCUUCUGCGAUUGAGAGAUCAGUGGCUUCGUCUCUUCUUCUCCUUUCCUAUGGACCUGUGGUCUUCUCACCCACAAGGUUCGCAUAACCCAAUCUCGUUUCAAUUUCUGUUUUGAUUGUGAGGCUCGCGGUUUCAGAUCUGUGUUAUCUUCCUCGUUUUUCCUCGUUUGGUUAAUAUUAUCGUCUUGGGUGAUUAUUAGGUCGGAAUCUGUAGAGGAAUCGAGCUAUGUGAGGAAGUGGUGUGACGAAGGUAGCUCGAACCUGAGCUUGAUGUUGGGAUCUAGCGGAUCGAGAUCUUGUGGCUCGGCUUUGUCCAGCGAUGGUUCGUUUGGGAUGAGCGAGGAUCGCGGAUUCAAAAUCAAUUAUACUGGAGAUCCGUUUCAUCUCAUGAAUUUCAAGGUGCGAAACUCUUCUUCUUCACGUCUCUGUUUCAGAGUAUUCGUUUGGUUGUUCUCUAGAUCUGAAUUGGUUCUUAAGUAAUUCGAAAUUCUGAGAAAUUUGAUUGACUAGUAGCUUCUAUUUGUUGAUUUCUUCCGUUUGAGCUAGAUUUUGGAAGUUACUAUUUCGUUCAUCAACCUGAAUGAUAAUCGCUCUCUCUUAGAUGUACCAAUUUUGUUUUUACGAUUCUGGAUUUAGUGAUUAGUUUACCAGAAACGGAUCAUUUCUGGAAUUUGAAAUUUCGAAUUUCAUGUCGACUCGUUUGCUUUGUUAUGCUCUGAUUUUAGUAAGAAACAUAUAUUUUAGAGAACAAACUUUGAGUACGGUGUGAGUAUUGAUUUUCAUUGACUGAUUUAUGCAGACAGCGAGAAAACGCCGAUCUCAGGUCAUUUGGGGAUCCUUCAAUUUUAAGCCAACACAUUUGAUGAUGAAUCCUGCGUGUGAUGUUCUCUCAACAUGCUCUGUUGAAUCCAAAGAUGAGUCAUGCUUGUCAACUGGUUCAAGCGAGGUUUCUAGCGUAGAAAGCAGAAUCAAAGUCAGGAAUCAGAAAAGCAAUGAGAAGCUAAGAGGAGUAGGGAAGAAGAUGAAAGAAAGUAGCAGGUCGAGUUCUAUUCGCCGUAGAGCCAAAGACAUCUUGGAGUUUCUUUCCUCUGAAUCUUCUUCCGAAGUUCAUAUCCGUCAGAUUCUUGGCGACAGUCCCGAUACCAGCAAAGCUCUCAGAAUGUAUAUUCUUCUUCUCAUUCACACAACAAAUACACAUUUCUUUUCUUAGCAAUACAUCUUCAAGCCUCUUGUGCAUGCUUGGUUUAAGGGCAUGGGAGAUAGUUGUAGACUUGUAGUGCUGAUCAAGUCCAGAUGCAGGUUGUUGAAGAUGGAGGAAGUGAAGAGGUUUGGCACAGGAGGAAGACUUGAUCCCUUUAUUUACAAGGUAUGAAACUUAAACUUUCACAUCCUUCAUUGUGGUAUAUAUUCUAGCAAUAAGUACCUUAAAUUGAUCUUUUUGCCUCCUUAAUUUUCUGUAGAUUGCAUGAAAGAUUAAGACAUUAAUGCUGGAGGCAGGUAAUACUUAUAUCCCCUUCCCCACUAUCUAGUUAUAUACAGUUUGGUUUGAUCCUGAUUUGGGCUAGGACAAUGAAAACUAUAACGGGAUUACGGGAGUUAUAUAUAUAGCUAGAUAUAUAUGGUCUAAAACGCUCGCUUUAUAAGAAGUGGCUCUGUUAAACAGAUAAAUAACUGAAGUAACCAUAUAAAAUAUAGAAACCGAUGUUAGUUAAUAAGAUAUCAUGCUUGUCUGCUUGUGUGAACCUCGGCCUAUUGGUUGAUUCCUUGUGAGCUGUUAAACACACUAUUGGUUGAUGACUUACUACCACUUUACUAAUCUAAUAAAUGUGAUUUUGCAAAAUAUAUUUUAAAUCAUACUAAUGGGAUAGAGAAAUAUAAUGAAUACUCAUUAAUUUCGGAUUAAUCAAUAUAUUGAAAGAAACAGAGCAAAAUAAUCAAAUUUCAUUGGAUUAUCUUCUACGAAUUUUCGGUUCGUGAUGUAUUGCUUACAGUUACUACAUGUCUUAUGUUUAUCUUACAAAGACUAAAUCAGUCUUGAUUUAUUUUAAAAUUUACAAUUUUAAAUCACUAAUUAGGGAAUCAAAUUACUUUAGUUAUAUAUUUCAUUUAAAAUUCUGCGAACAUGUAGUUUAAUCAAAGUUUUUUUUUUUUAACAACUGUUUAAUCUAAGUUUUUUUGGAUAUAUUAUCUAAGCAUAGUAAAUUUUAAAGUAGGUCUUAGUUUUAUGAUAAGGAUAUUAAAUAUAUUAGUCCAAAAUUUUAGAUUAAAAAAGUGAUCUAAGAUUUUAGACUAAAAAGUGAUCUAAAACUUAAAAGCUAGCUGACCUACAUAAAUCACUUGUGACAUUUGUAAGUUCAUAAUGGUACGUGUCAUGUUAUGUUAAUUAAGUUUGAAAUAUUAGAUGUAAGAAAAAAAGAGAUUCAAAAAUUAAAUUCUAACGGAAAAAAACAUACGUUACAAUUAAAAGUCGAAAAGUGUUAAGUCCAAAGGUCAAUUAGAGCGCAAUUUGAGUCCAGAAAAGUCGAUGAAAAAUGUCCAUCCAUCGAGAAAUUAUGCUUAAAGUAAACGCUUACUUUUCAAGCGACUUUCACGGUAUUGCCGCAGUCAAAAAUACGCGGCGACUGUUUGGUUGGUAUAGUGACGACCCACACUCACGCGGAUUCAUUAAUUUUCUAAUUAAUUAUCACAAAUAAGAAAAAAGGAACGUGAAAUAAAUUUGUUAAUUAAAAAAAAAAGGAAAAGGAAACUGACAAGAAACGCUAAACAGAUUCCUUCCUUGUACUAAAAAAACGUUAAUUUACAGCUCAGAAUAAGUUUUUCAGUUUCCCCUAAUUUCGACCCUAUAUUUUUAUGAAUAGAAUUUCAGUCCUAAUACUUUUUAAUAAAUUGCAAUCCUAUACCCUAAUCAGUCUUUAUCUGGAAAUAUUAUUCUAUAUCUUAUAUUAUAGGUCAUGGAAACAAUAAACUACUAAUCACUUAUGGAAUGGUAAGAUUACAGAGAGAUUUUAAGAAAAAACCAAAGAAAGGGGCAAAUAGAAAUAAAAUAAAAAAUAUGGGAGCCAAGGGAAAAGUGCAAGAAAAGCAAUUAAAUAAAAAAAUAAAAAAAAAACCCUCAAAAAGAAGAAAGCGGAGACUCGUUCGCUUUUUUCCUGCCUCCUAUAAAUUAAACGCGACUUGUAAAACCUUUCUCAUCGUCUCCGUCCUCUCUCUCUCUCUUCACGAGAAAGAGCAGAAAUAACAAAUAGAAAGAAGAAUUAGGAACAAUAGAUUCUUCAAGGAAAUGGGGAAAUACACGGAGAUGUUGGACGCCGGCGUGAGAAUCGCGGCGAGGUUUCAUUCACACUGUCCUCAGACGGCUCGUCUUUAUUACCAUCCUCCAUCCGACGGCCAUCACCAUCACGGCGGAGUCAAAGAUCUAAUCGGAGGUGGUGGGGUUUUGGGGUCGGGUCAAGAUUCGACCGGUUUGGUUGGUGGUUUAGGAACCGGAACUACUGGUGGUUGCGGUAUCAAAUCUUCUCAAGGAUAUGAUGACGCUAGAGAUCUCUUGUUAUUCUCUGUUGUUUGAUUUAAUUAUUUGACGAAAUAUUGGUUGGUGUGGGAGAGAGAUUUCAUGAGCGUUUGGUUGUGCUUUUUAAAUUAUUAUUGAGAAAACUGUAUGUUCUUGAGAGGAUUUGUGAUACUAUUUAAUCAUCUCUGGAUUCCAAAAUUUUCUGGGGAUAAAUGGAUGUUGAUGAGAAAUUAAAUUUGAUUUUUUUUUUUUUGUUCAAUUCUGUUCUUAAUUAUUUUUGUUUGACUUCGUUCGGAUUUAGGUUGCCGCAUCUUUGGUUUAAACCCUAAAUUUAUUGUCGAAGACUUUUUUAGUCUUUUACCCUUUGGGGGAUAUUAAAUUCCUUGCCUACAGCUGCAAGUUGAUUAUGAGCAAAAUCUUUUAAAUUAUCUGCAAUCUAUUACUAUUAUAAUUGUGGGAUUCUUAAGAACAUGUCAACAAUUGGAUCAAACCUAUCAUUCGUUGAACCACACCCGAAGAUUCUGGAGCUAACAGCAACUUCGCUCUCCCAAUGGUUUAACAAAUACGGAAGAACUGGAUUUGCUAUGAAAGAUCGAAUUAAAAAAAAUUAUAAAAGAUUUCACAAUUCAACAACUGAGCCAAAAAGAUUUGGUAGGUUAGACAAUUCCACAAUUCAACAGCUGAAGUAGGUACAAAGUCUUUGUUAUUAUUGUCUUUGUUCGACAAAAGCUACCAAUCAACAGAGCUUAAACGAUAAAAGCUCUGUUUUCUAAUACAGAUUCAAGUAUAAAGGUAAAUGAAUGUUUUGUUUGUGUAUAUAUCCUUGAAAAGAAUUGGGAUCCCCUCACAGUUUCAGCUGGUUACAUCCUCUCAACGAUGCAUAAAGAGGUUGAGAUUUUCUGAAACUAACAAUGUCUUCGAUCUCUAUGGAUGGUGAUACAACUUUGUCCUUGUCAGAUGACAUUUCCUUCAAAUGCUGGUUUCCGUAAACGCAUACGCUCAGCGAUCUCUUUUUUGGUGCGCCAACCUUUUAUGUAUUCGUCGAAAAAAUCUAUCAAAUCUUCCUUCUUUAGCUCUCUCAGAGUAGCCACCUAACCGCAAAAUAAACCACAAUGAGAUGUGUUCCCUUCUUGAAUCUCUCCCCAGUAAAACAAGGAUUCUUCGCUUAAGUUCUUGUGCUUUUCAAGCUUCAUGUCUAUCAAAGCUGUUACAUUGCUCUGAGGAGCAAGUCAAUGUUUAGUUCCAGCAAAGCAGAUAUGAUAUAUAAUAUCUGGUUGGGCCUCCUCACCUUAAAUUCCUCAUCGCUCAUCUUGUAAAGUUUACUCUCAAGAUCCUUGAGUAGUGACUCGACCCUCGAAUCUACAUGUCCAGGACCCUAUUAAUGAAAAAAAUCAACGGGAUUAAGGAGAUCUACGUAAACUAGAAAGGGUUAUGCAAAGUCCGAUGGAAAAGAGGCAAGACAGAUUGGUAGUUUGGUACCUUGACUGAAGACUGGAUAAUGAACUGUACACCAUAGACACCAGAGUCGUUUCUGUGUCGCAGAAAAAUGAUUAUUUAUGUGUCAACAAGAACUGAUCAGGAGCAUUCCAAAGGAUGAGAAAUUCUUAUGUACCUUUGAGAAAGUGAAGCGAUGUAACCAAGUUGCUCAAUCGUUCUAAGCUGGUGAAACGUGGCUUGCUUUGCAAUUAGUUCGAAAAGCUGAAGUUUACUAUUCAUGGAAAAUUCAUCUUGAUGAACCUAUUCGUGGUAAACCAAUUUCCAUUACCAAAAAUACGAAGGUCAAUAACUCACAAAGAGUCUAAGUAACAAGAUCUACAAGAAAAGCUUUAUACGAUGAUGCAACAAACUGGUUGAUGAUACCACUUAGUUCGAAGGCUAUCCUACUAAUCUUGUCACAAGUAUACCUGAAUAUAAUGCACUAGAGCAGAAUUUUCAUCGCUGGGGUUUGAGCCCUCUUGAUGGUAGAAGUAUUUCAUUCCUGUUCCGAGCUCUGCAACUCGGCUUGUCAGGAACUGGGAUGGAUAUAACGGACGACAGAUAGGUUUUGGAUCGUCAAAGAGAACAUCUUCAAUAUGCUUGACCAUUGACUCAGCUUCGUCAUUCUCAACAUUUCCUGAAAUGAGUGUAUAAUUAUAUAAUUGAUACCACAACGACUAGAACAAAUAAAACAGGAGUAGAGACCAAAGACUAUCAUACAAUGGGGAUAAUGUUGAUACCUGCUAUAUAGCAUUCAACAAAUGUCCUCGAUAACAACAUUGAAACGAAAUUCGUCAAGUCUUCAGCUUCCAAAUGAGAAAGAGCAUCUAGUUCCUCUGUCCAAGGCCAAGUGUGAUCUUGUAAUACCAUUGAGCAGUAACUCAUUGCUUGAUUAUGUGGUUGUCGGAAUUUGUAAUUUUGGUAUGCCUUUAUGACCGUUUCCUAUCAAAGGAUAAGGAAACAGAAAAAUCUGGUAUCAAGGCUUAAUUUAGAAAGAAGGACGAAGUCUACUAACAAGUAUACCUUGACAACAGAAAACCUGUCAGGUUUAAAUUCGAAGUUUGCUAUCUUUUGAAUGACAGCUUCCAGCAAGAUCCUCAAUUUGUGAUUAAAGCCAACAAGAGAGAGCUGGAUAUGAGGAACUAUUAGUCAAACAUGAAAUUCAUUGAGAAAAACACACAAGGAAACGUCAGCAUCCUUGUACAAACCCACCUCAACCAUUGUCCGAAAGACUUAAUCCAUAGUCAAGACCAGCAGCUUGAGCAUAAUAAGCUGAAACAUACAAGUACAGAUUGAUAUAAUAACAAAUUACGAAGGCUUAUCACCUAAUUUGUUCUACAAAAGAGAAAUGACGUAAAGAGGUAUAUCUAUCAAAUCUUACCAUAUUCAUUCAAAUAGUCUACCAGCAACCAAACAAAAAGAUUUGAAAGAACUACAGCGUCAGGAGAGCUGACCGCAAGGGGGCAGUUAAAAUCCAUCUUAACAUAUGCCUUUGGUUUGAAGAACUUUGUAUCAGGCUUGUACCACAAUCUUGAGAAGGAUGUCUUUCUCAGCAAAACAGGAAAUAUAUCCUGUUCCAGAACUUGAUUCUGUGAUAUAUUCAUACACUAUUCAAAAGACAUUUGUAAAUUGUAACUAGAGUGUUGGUAGAAACUGAACCUUAUCCGUAAACUGCUUCAAUGAAAAAUCCGUAGGAAUGAAGAUAUUAGGUGUUGGUAGAAACAGGUUUACAUCAGGGGCAGACUGCACCCACUCCUGUAAUUGUUAAGCACAAUUAUAAAUUCGAGCAGAGGAAAAUAAAGCAUAAAGGAAAUCAAUACAUCAAAAGCCAACCUGAAUGGUGAAUUUGGAUAUCUUCUCAAGAGAAUAAGCAGUGUUAUACCAUGGCUCAACCUUGUCAGUUUGCCCUUCAAAUUUAUUUGACUCCCAAAAGAUUCUACAUAUAUAAUGGCAUUAGAUUCUGCAACAAGACAAUCUUACUUGGCCAUAAGCCCAUAAGAAGGUCAGGAUUUCAAUACUUGAACUACUAUGGAAAUAUUAUGAUUAAAUAGAGAUCACAUGGCCGAUAGAAUAAAUCAUUUAGCUUGGUGAACACCUAUGAAUUAGUCAGACAUUUAGAUACAUUUGGUCAUUGAUUGCUUUUGCGAAGGGUUGCAUUCCAGGAACAGAGACUUACCGAACAUUAUCUGGAGAAAGAUCAUCGAUAACCUUUUGCACACUAGCUGGAUUAAAUUUCGAAGGCAGUGACGAUCCAAUCAGCCAAUGCUUGGUUGGGUAUAUCUGAAGAAUAAAUGCAAAAGGACUCACGAGAUAAAUAAAUAUAUAAAAUUGAAAUAAGAAGCUUAGAUGGUAGGAAAAAUAUGACAAGUCGAUUCCCUUGAAACAAAGUAUUACCGUCAUGUUUGAUGAAUUAUUCACUGCAUAAGAAAGUGGGUCUAUUUUGGCUUGAUAAUGAAACUCUGCCUCAAAGAUAGCUGAGAGCUUCAACAGAAAAAAAAAAAGAAGUAUCAAUAGGAAUACUAACAAGAUUACAAGCACAAUAGUAGAAAAGGUGGAAACAUAGAUUGUAAAACUUUAAUAUUACAGAUACCUCAUCAAAAAUCCACUGGGAAACACCAGAUUGUUGUAAAAGGUUAAUGUGUCUGAACAACAACCCUAAAAUAUCUUGCAUAUGCUCUGUACCCCAAGCAAGAAACAAAUCAAACCAAAAUCCAGAAAAUAAUAGGCACUGACUAAACAUCAAGCACACCAAGACCAUCUAUUCAACAUAAGAAUGUUGCGAGCGUCUAAAGAAUAUUAAAACAAACAAGAAAGAAUACAGAAACCCACCAUGGCGAGCAUCAGUAAGAUUAAUCGAAACAUUGAAGAAAGAAUACUCCAUAGUCCAGUCUGGUUCGCCAGCGUACAGUCCCGUUGCCCAACCUGUGCAAGUAUUAGCAAGAAUUCAGCAAACUAUUAGAUGUAAAACUAAAAAUCUGCCAAAACAUUUAUUAGUUUGGCCCCAAAGACAACGUACCCAAGAUUUUCAACGCAUGAAACAAACUUCCUUUGCCUUCAUGACCAAUUAGAUGACCAACGUACGUGCAUGGUGCUUCUUCAUAAUGAUGGAUGCUAGGAGUUACAGGCCACGAAACAGUAAGAUUAUGGCCCUGCUUUAUAGGAACAGCCUUCACAAGAACCUAGUACCAGUAUAAAAACACAACCACCAAAGAUACCACCUUAAUUGGAAACAUUCUAGCAUGAGUUUAUCUCCGUCUCGUGUAAAGGCUUAAAGCUGAAAGAAGAAACAAAAACCUGCAAAUGUUCCUGAGUACACGGCUGACCAGGAAACCGAGGAAUUUCCUUGUUGGUGUUUCGAAUUUCCUGGAACAUCUCUUCCACUAGAAAUUUGAGAAAAGAGAUGAAAAAAAUGUUACAUAUGUUGAUACUUUUGUUUUCUGAAAGUAAAGAAAUUUGAGUUUUGAGUUAGAUCCAAAACCUACCUUUGCCAUAAACAACCAGAUGCAUGGUGUUGGCAGAAUAGUGUUUGUCGUAGAAUUUAAUAAGUUCACUUCUUGUAUCCACUCCAUUUGCUUCGGGUCGUACAUGAAGAGUAUCGAUGUUCCCUAAGAAAAAACAUCACUUUAUUGGCAUGAGAAAAAAAUUCGGAAGGAGUAAGGACCACUGACUUUUCUUUAGCAUCACAACACCAAUUAAGAAGAGGUAGAAGAUGGACCUGUAUUAAAUUUGUGAUAUGGGUGGUCUUCUCUACUUAGAUGCUUCUUUAACUGUGUGAACAAGAAGGAAAACAAAACUUAUGUUAGAUGCUAAAAUAUAAGUCAACAGACUUGUGGGUUGUCAGAUAUGCAGGGCUUAGAUAUAAGUACUACAAGUUCCAGGAAACCUCAUUUAUCAUACUUAGGUACUUUUCCUCUCCAUGGAUAAUCAGUGAAAUGCAUCCUUCAAUGCUAAUAACAAAAUGGAGAGAAAGAAUACAAAUAUUUGUUCUUGAGAGCAAAGGAAAAUACCUGAUGCAUACGCCAAGAAUCAGACAACAAGUUUUUCUGAUUCUCUGGAUAAGAGAGAACUCGUUAGAAUUUUUAAGUUUAAGAAACUGAAACAAGAAAGCUAUCUCAAAAGGUAAAAGAUAGCUAACCAGAGUCAACAGCCUUGAUCUCCCUCAUGGUGGCAUCAGCUGACAUCAAUGGUUUGAUAAAGAACUGUGCAAACCUGGUUAUGGGCAAUAACGUAACAUAAGUAUCAAACUGUAUCAGAAGGGAAAUCAGACAAGAUCAGUUAGUAAAUGGAAAAAAAAAAAUGCAAGUCUACCUGUCCAAAGCCUCAUCAAAAGAAUCAGUGUUGAUAUCGAAAUGGUAAUUUGUAUGUUCAGUGGAUGUAUAAGCAUUUGUUCUCCCUCCAUGCUGCAAACAAAUGAUUUCGAAUAAGCACAUUCCAAUUUUCGUUCCUCAACUUAAUAGAAGAGACACAAUUAUGAUCAAGUUUGUAUUCCAGAGCUGGAUAAGAACGUUACCUCUGUUAUGUACUUGGAGUAACUAUCUUCCUCAGGGUAUUUUUCACUUGCAUAAAACAGCAUAUGCUCUGACCCCCCCCCCCCCCCCCCCCCAAAAAAAUAAUAAAACAAAAUCAGAAGAAUUAAAAAUCAGAAGUUAUCGAUCACCAUGGCCAUCAAAAUCCACAUUUUACAAAAUCGACUUUAAUAUAGAGGAAAGAGUUACUAAGUCACCGUUUUAUUAAUACAGAACUGGUUCAGGUCAGUGAUUGAAUCCUGCUAUGGAGAAAAUCCUUAAAACUGAUUUACAUUCUUAGAAAGAAAAAAGGUCGUACCAAGGAAAUGAGCUAGCCCUUCCAACCCUUGUGGGUCCGAGAAAGAUCCAACGCUAACGUUCAAAGAAGCAGCACACUAGAAUGAAUGAAGCAGGUAAACACAGAUAAAAUUUCAGCUCUUGUUUGUUUUAGCAGCAAAAUUAUAACAGGAAUCGAGUUUUACCUUGUCAGUCUCUGGGUCGCUGAUUAGCAACACCUCCAGCGAAUUCUUCAGAACAAUCCUCCUAUAGUCUCUCUUGUCAGUGCGUGGCUUCAGUAUUUCGCCACCUUUAUCGGCCGCAUUCGUGGCCGCAGCGGCGUUCUCAAUCGCCAUCGAUGUUGGAUUACUUUAGCUGAAUCUUUGCUAUAUAAUAUAACCAAGUAACGUCUUUCUUUUUCUUUUUCUAAACUUCAGAGGGAGAGGGAGCUCAGAAGAAAUUAUCUGGUGUGGUAUAGUCUACGUCUGAUUUUAUCAACGGUCUAUAUACAUCAUCAGAUAAUAGUUGUAGAAUCCUUAAUUCUUAGGAUCUUAUUUCCAUUAUACUUGUUAUUAAUUUAAUUGCAAACUUAUCAUAAGGUUUUUCUUGGAAAGUCUUAAUUAAUAAAGUGGGAAUUUGACUUUUCUUUUUCUGUUAUUGUGCUAAUAAGGUUGUGUUGUGUUGAUCUCUUACCUUACUGAGAUAAGGACAGAGACGUUCUAGGAAAAGAGACAUUAGUGGGUUGGAGGUGUUCCGUGUUUAUCUAUAGAAGGUAGAAGACGCUUUCUUCUUUGUGGAUAUAUUAAAACUUGUACGUAGAAGCUUUAGUCUAUCUUGUUCUUGUACUUGUCUUCAUGAUGUGAUCUAAUCACCUUGUUUACAGCCAAAAACCAACCGAUACCUCAUCAAAGAUGUGUCAUCUCUAUAUUCUUUAUUAAGCUUCUGCACUUAAAUUUUAAUAUCUAAUCUCUCUCGUUGGGUUCGAAGAAUUAUUUAAAAGUGGUUCCACGAUUCAUCUAUAAUCAAAUAUCUUUAAAACUCUGUUUUCUAACAAACCACUUGAAUGCAGGUUCACAUUUUGGUAUAUGAGUGUGAGUGUAUAAAUCUAUGAAAUGUGUCGGGACCUCAUCACAGUUUCAGCUGGCUGUACAUCCUUUCAACGAUCCAUAAAGAGGUUGAGACUUUCUGAAACCAACAAUGUCUUCGAUUUCUAUGGAUGGUGUUACAACUUUCUCUUUGUCAGAUGACAUUUCCUUCAAAUGUUGGUUUCCGUAAACGCAUACGCUCAGCGAUUUCUUUUUUGGUGCGCCAAACUUUAUGUAUUCGUCAAAGAAAUCUAUCAAUUCUUUCUUCUUUAGCUCUCUCAGUGCAGCCACCUGAUUACACAACAAACCCCAACUUCAUCGGUCAAUAGGCUGUGUAACGCAAGUACAAGGUUCUCAAUUCAGAGAUUGCUAGGAAGUAGUUGGAAAGAGGUGCUUUGUCUAUUAUUACCUCUGCAUCUUUGCGGUUGAAUUUAAGUGUCCCUUUUUGAAUCUCUCCCCAGUAAAACUGGGAUUCCUCGCUCAAGUUCUUGGGUUUAUCAAGCUUCAUGUCUAUCAAAGCUGUUACAUUGCUCUGAGGAGCAAGUCAAUGUUAAGUUCCAGCAAAACAGAUAUGAUGUAUAAUAUCUGGUUGGGCCUUCUCACCUUAAAUUCCUCAUCGCUCAUCUUGUAAAGUUUACUCUCAAGAUCCUUCAGUAGUGACUCGACCCUCGAAUCUAUAUGUCCAGGACCCUAUUAACAACAAACUCAAAGGCGAUUAAUGCAUUAACUAGAAAGGGUUAUGCAAAGUCCGAGUGGCGGAGAGACAAGACAGUUUGGUAGUUUGGUACCUUAACUGAAGAUUGAAUAAAGAACUGUACACCAUAGACACCAGAGUCGUUUCUGUGUCGUACAAAUGUAAUUAGUUAUGUAUCAGCGAUAACUCAGGAGCAUUCAAACGUAUGAGAAAUUCUUAUGUACCUUUGAGAAAGUGACGUGAUGUAACCAAGUUGCUCGACCGUCCUAAGCUGGUGAAAAGUGGCUUGCUUUGCGAUAAGUUUAAAAAGCUGAAGUUUGAUAUUCAUGGAAAAUUCAUCUUGAUGAACCUGUCCGUGGCAAACCAAUUUCCGUUAGAAAAAAACCAAGGUCUACAAGAAGAAACCUUCUACACUCACGAUGAGUCUAAGUACCAAAAUCUACAAGAAGAGAAAAACUGGUUGAUGAGACCAAUAAGAUCUACUAAUCUUGUCAAAAAUAUACCUGGAUAUAAUGCACUAGAGCAGAGUUUUCAUCGCUGGGGUUUGAGCCUUCUUGAUGGUAGAAGUAUUUCAUUCCUGUUCCGAGCUCUGCAACUCUGCUUGUCAGGAAUUGGGAUGGAUAUAACGGACGACAGAUAGGUUUUGUGUCGUUAAAGAGAACAUCUUCAAUAUGCUUGACCAUUGACUCAGCUUCGCUCUUCUCAACAUUUCCUGAAACGAGUUUCUAAUUAUAUCACUGACACACUACAAAGACUAGAACAACAAAAAAAGGAUUAUAGAGACCAAAGACUAUAUCAUACAACAUGGAUAAUGUUGACACCUGCAAUAUAGCACUCAACAAAUGUCCUCGAUAGCAACAUUGGAACGAAAUUCGCCAAGUCUUCAGCUUCUAAACAAGAAAGAGCAUCUAGUUUCUCUGUCCAAGGCCAAGAGUGAUCUUGUAAUACCAUUGAGCAGUAACUCAUUGCUUGAUGAUAUGGUUGUCGAAAUUUGUAAUUUCUGUAUGCCUUUUUGACUGUUUCCUAUUAUAUAGGAUAGGAGGGAAGCAGAAAAACAUGGAUUAUUUAACAAAUAUGGUACAAUGCUUAUUGGUUAAUAUCUCUAUCCAUGUACAAAACCUGAAAAAGGAGACUGUCCUAAUUUAGAAAGAGGGACGAAGUCUACUAAUAAGGUUACCUUGAUAACAGAAAACCGGUCGGGUUUGACUUCAAAAUUUGCUAUCUUUUCAAUGACAGCUUCCAGCAAGAUCCUCAAUUUGUGAUUAAAGCCAACAAGAGAGAGCUGAAAAUGAGAAACUGUUAGUCAAACAUGAAAUUCGUCGAGCAAAAGACACAAGAGAACGUCAAAAUUUUGUACAAAACCCACCUCAAAACCAUUGUUAGAAAGACUUAAUCCAUAGUCAAUACCAGCAACCUGAGCAUAAUAAGCUGAAACAUAGAAUUACAGAUUGAUAAAAUAGUUUUCCUGAUAUAAUAACUAACUAUGAAGGCUUAACACCUUACUCUAGUUUUAUUUCGUUCUUCAUUAUAGCAUAUUUUAACUUGUCUUAAAAGAAACACAUAUGAGAUGCAAUAUAAAGUAGCAGACUCGUCAUCUCGAUAAUCAAAAUGAGUACUGAUAUUGUAUAAAAGUUUUGCGAUUCGAAGAGAGCUAUAAAGAACUCCCAGCAGAACUAUCACAUUUUACGUGAGACAACUUUGGAAACUGACCCUCUAAAUUAAUAAAAUUCGAUUGACCUUUACUUGGAAGUCAACCUUGCCUUUCAGAAGAUUGGUUCCACAUACUUAGCAAACAGUUUGUCUUGUGUAAAUGUCUAAAUAACGCUGUAGUUAAAAGAGAAAUAACAAAAAAAAGGUCUAUCUAUCAAAUCUUACCAUAUUCAUUCAAAUAGUCCACCAGCAACCAAACAAAAAUAGUUGAAAGAACUGCAGCGUCGGGAGAGCUGAGUGCAAUGGGGCAGUUGAAAUCCAUCUUAACAUAUGCCUUUGGUUUGAAGAACUUUGUAUCAGGCUUAUACCACAAUCUCGAGAAUGAUGUCUUUCUCAGCAAAACAGGAAAUAUAUCCUGUUCCAGAACUUGAUUUUGUGACAUAAGACAACUGCUUCAUACACUAUUCAAAAGACAUUUGUAAACUGUAAUUAGAGUGAUGGAACUGAACCUUAUCAUCAAAAUCCUUCACUGAAAAAUCCGUAGGAAUGAAGACAUUAGGUGUUGGUAGAUGCAGGUUUUCAUCAGGAGCAGACUGCACCCACUCCUGUAAUUGUUAAGAAAAAUUAUAAAUUCGAGCAGAGGAAAAUAAAGCAUAAAAGGAAAUCAAUACAUUAAAAGCCAACCUGAAUGGUGAAUUUGGUUAUCUUCUCAAGAGAAUAAGCAGUGUUAUACCAUGGCUCAACCUUGUCAGUUUGCCCUUCAAAUUUAUUUGAUUUCCAAAAGAUUCUACAAAUAUAACAUCUCGCUAUGAGUAGUCAAGAUUUAAAUGCUUAAAGUAGAGAUCAUAUGGAGGAUAAAAAUAUUUAGCACCGUCCUCGGAAUAAAUAGGACAGACACAAAUUUAGAGAAUAGUAGGCAGCAAGGCAAAAUAAUCCAUUAGGUCAUCAAUUGCUUUUGCAAAGGGAUGCAUUCCACGAACAGAGACUUACCGAACAUUAUUGGGAGAAAGCUCAUCUAGAACCUUUUCCACAGUAGCUGGAUUAAAUUUAGAUGGCAGUGAUGAUCCAACCAGCCAAUGCUUGGUUGGGUACAUCUGAAGCAUAAUUGGAAUAAGACACAGAAGUUAAGAAAAAAAAGUGAAAUGUUUAGCCACGAACCAGGUUUCCGAACUUCAGCCACAAAGAAAAUAAUGAGAAGUAGAUUGAACAGCUGAAAAUACUAUUACCUUCAUUUUUAAUGAAAUACUUUUGGCAUAAGACAUUGGGUGUAUUUUGGCUUGAUAGUGAAAUUUUGCCUCACAGAUAGCUGAGAGCUUUAACAACAAUAACAGAUGUAUCAAGCUCUAUAAGAACACUGAAUCAAUAGGAAUACUAGCCAGAUCAAAAAGCAGACAACAACAACAAAAAAAAUGGAAACAUAUGUCCUAGAAAUUGUACCGCUUGAUAAUACCAGUACCUCAUCAAAAAUCCACUGGGAAACACCAGACAGUUGUAAAAGCUUAAUUUGUCUGAACAACAACCCUACAAUAUCUUGAAUAUUCUCUGUAUACCAAGCAAGAAACAAAUCAAACCAAAUCCAGAAAUAUCAGGUACUGACUAAGCAUCAAGCACACCAAUACCAUCUUAUCAACAAAAAAGAAAGAUUGUUGCAAGCUUCCGUAGAAUAUUAAAACAAAACAGGAGAGAAUACAGAAACCCACCAUGGCCAGCAUCAGUAAGAUUAAUUGAAACAUUGAAGAAAGAAUACUCCGUGGUACACCCUGCUUCACCAGCAUACAGACUCGUUGCCCAACCUGUGGAAGUAUUAAGAUAAAUAAAGGAAAACUUACUAAAUGCAGAACUGCUGAUACAUAGGUCUGCAUCACAAAAUUAAGUAAACAAGAAGUUGAGCAAAUGUUUUUGAAGUAAACAAGCAGUUGAGACACACUCUUCUGGCCAUGGUGAAUAAAAACUGGAGAAUAAAGGUCAAGCAAGAAACACCUCAAUAAAAUACAGGGGAAACAACUAAUCUUUAAGAUUUCUCGUAACUAUUAUCCGAGACAACUUAUCCUCCAAAAAAGUAAGAUAUCAUUCUGAGAAGCAGAAAUAGAGAGCCGAAGACUACCACAUCUUUUCAAAUUUUUACCUUCCAAAACAUUUAUUAGUUUGGGCCCAAAUAAAACCUACCCCUCAUUUUCAAGGCAUGAAACAAACUUCCUUCGCCUUCAUGACCAAUUAGACGACCAAUGUACCUGCAUGGUGCUUCUUCAUAAUGAUGGAUGCUAGGAGUUACAGGCCAUGAAACAGUAAGCUCGUGACCCUGCCUUAUGGGAACAGCCUUCACAAGAACCUAAAACCAAUGAAAAACACACCACCACCGAAAACACCACCUUAAACAUUUUAGCAUGAAUUUAUCUUCUCAUAUAAAUGCUAUAACUGAAAUAAGGAGCAAAAACCUGCAAAUGGUCUAGAGUACACGGCUGACCAGGAAAUCUAGGAAUACUCUUGUCGGUGUUUCGAAUUUCUUGGAAUAACUCUUCCACUAGACCUUGAGUUUUAUCAAGGUUUUCUGAAGACAUCCAGAGAAAAGAGAUGUAUAAAUGUUAUAUAUGUUAAUUCUGUACUUUUUUUUCUGAAACUAAAAGAAAGUUGAGUAUUGGGUUAGCUUCAAAACCUACCCUUGCCAUAAACAACAAGAUGCAUGAUGUUGGCAGAAUAGUGUUCAUCAUAGAACUUAAUUAGCUCAAUCCUUAUGUCUAUUCCUUUUGCUUCAGGUUGUACACAGAGAGUAUCCAUGUUACCUAAGCAAAAUUAUCACUUUCUUAGCAGGAGAGAAUAAAUAGGACGCGACCAAUUUAGAAUAGUUCAAACAUGAAUGAACCUGUGCUAAAUUUGUGAUAUGGAUGGUCUUCUCUACUUAGAUGCUUCUGUAACUGUGUCAACGAAAAAGGAAGACAAAACUCAAGUUAGAUGCUAUAUACACAUCAACAGACUUGUGGGUUAUCAAAUAUGCAGGGCUUAGUAGAAGUACUACAAGUUCAAAGGAAAAACCUCAUUUUUCAUACUUAAAUGUACACAUCCAAUGCUAAUAACUAAAUGGAUAGAUAAAUACAAGUAACCCAUAUAAUUGUUCUUGAGAGCUAGGGAAAAUACCUGGCGCAUACGCCGAGAAUCAGUCAACAAGUUUUUUUUAUUCUCUGGAUGAGAGAGAACUCAUUAGAAUUUGUUGUAUCAACAAAAAUGAACAGGAGAGCUAUCAAGAAAUUGAAAAGCUAACCAGAGUCGACAGCUUUGAUCUCCCUCAUGGUGGCAUCAGCUGACAUAAGUGGUUUGAUAAAGAACUGUGCAAACCUGGUUUAGGCAAUAACAGAAAAUUUUGACACUGUCAAAAGGAAAAUCACAUAACAUUAGUAAGCAAGAUAGAAAGAAAAAAAAAAAUUGCAAAUCUACCUGUCCAAAGCGUCAUCAAAAGAAUCAGUGUUGAUAUCAAAAUGGUAAUUUGUAUGUUCAGUGGAUGUAUAAGCAUUUGAGCUCCCUCCAUGCUACAACAAAACAGAAUUCCAGUAAGCACAUCAUAUUCUCUUGAUUUAAUAGAGAAGCACCAAUACAAGAACAUCAAUUAUGUAUUACCUCAUUGACAUACUUGAACAAACCAUGUUCCUCAGGGAAUUUUUCACUUGCAUAAAAUAGCAUAUGCUCUUGAUCCCCGGAAUAUAAUAGAACGAGCAGCAUAAAAGAUCACAUGUUAUUCACCAAAAUCGACAUUAAAGGAAACAGUUUAUAAAGAGAGAACUGACUCAAUCUCUUUCUCAGUGACUGAACUCUGCUAUGAAGACAUCAUUAAACUAAUUUGAAUUCUUAGAAGUGGAAAAAUAAAAGUACCAAGGAAAUGAGCUAGCCCUUCCAAUCCGUCCGGGUCCGAGAACGACCCGACGCUAACGUUCAUUGAGGCAGCACACUAAAAAGCAAACGACACAGAGGAAUCUUCAUGAAUUUAUCAUCCUGUACCAUUGGAAUAGAGAAUCGAGCUUACCUUGUCAGUCUCUGGGUCGCUGAUCAACAACACCUCUAGCGAAUUUUUGAGUACAAUCCUCCUAUACUCUCUCUUGUCCGUACGUGCCUUUAGUAUCGUGUCACUUCCAUCCGCCGUCGCCGUCGCGUUCUCCGUUUCAACCGCCAUCUCCCUUCGAUUACUUUGGGAAAGUUUUAGUCUACGCUGAGUCUUCUUCUUUGCUCUUAUGAAUGUCUAACGUCUUUCUUUUAGUAAGAGCAGAGAAGAAUUAUCUUAUGUGGUACAGUCUACGUCUGACUAAUAUCAACGGUGAAUGUUUUCCCAAGUAAUACAGAUCCAACGGCGAUUACUUGGGUCUUCGCUAGGCUGGGUCUUCGCUAGUAUUAAGUAUGGUCCAACGUCUUUCCUUUUGUCUCUAAUCUAGUGUCAUUCUCCACUGUGGUUAGAAUCUGCGUCUGACUAUUAUCAACGGUCUUUAUUUUCCCAAUUAAUAGAGAUCCAACGGCGCCAAGCACAGAUUUCGUCAAACAAUGCCAAGUUACCAACUCCAACGUUGAUUUGUUGUAGUAAGAGAUAGGGACCUAAAGAGUAGUUGAAUAUGAUAACUAUGAAAAAUAAGUAUGCUAUAUUGAAUAACUAUGCCAUAAAUUUUCAUCGAAUAAAAUUUUGGCCUAUGUGUGUUUGUAAUUAUCUCUGAAUAGAAUUGCGACCUCCUCAAAGUUUCAAAGACCCGUAAAGAGGUUGAGACUUUCUGAAACAGACAAUGUCUUCGAUUUCUAUGGAUGUUGAUGGUAUUUUGUCUUUGUCAUUUGCCAUUUCCUUCAAAUGUUGGUUUCCAUAAACGCAUAUGCUCAAUGAUUUCUUAUUUGGUGCGUCCAACCUUAUGUAUUUGUCAAGGAAAUCUAUCAAUUCGUCCUUCUUUAGCUCUCUCAGUGCAGCCACCUAAGCAUGAAGCAAACCCCAACGUUGGAGUUCUUAAUUCAAAGAAUUGGUUGGAAGGAGUUGCAAAAGGAGGAAUUACCUCUGCAUCUAUGCGGUUAAAUUUGAGUGUCCCGGCUUGAAUCUCUGCCCAGUAAAACCAGGAUUCCUCAUCCAAGUUCUUGUCUUUUUCAAGCUUCAUGUCUAUCAAAGUUGUUACAUUGCUCUGAGGAGCAAGUCAUGUCAGUUACUACAUCAAUUCAAUGUUUAUCUCAAGCAAAGCAAAUAUCAUCUAGCUUGUGUCAUCUCACCUUGAAUUCUUCAUCGCUCAUAUUGUAAAAUUUACUCUCAAGGUCCUUUAGUAGUGACUCAACUCUCGAAUCAAUAUGUCCAGGACCCUAUCAACGAUUAACUCAAAGACAACUAAAGAGAUCUGCAUCGAUUAUGCAAAGUCUGAGUGGUAGAGAGGCAAUACAAGUUGGUACCUUAUCUGAAGAUUGGAUAAUGAACUGUACACCAUAGACGCCAGACUCGUUGCUGUGUUGCAGAAAAGCGGUUAGGCAUGAAUCUAGUAAAUAUUCAAACACACGAGAAACUCCUAUUUACCUCAGAGAAAGCGAAGUGAUGUAGCCAAGUUGCUCAAUCGUUCUAAGCUGGUGAAACAUGGCUUGCUUUGCAAUUAGUUCGAAAAGCUGGAGUUUACUAUUCAUGGAAAACUCAUCUUGAUGAACCUGUUCGUGGUAAACCAAUUUCCAUUACCAAGAACACGAAGGUCAAUAGAAAGAAAAACUUGCAAAGAGUCUAAGUAACAAGAUCUACAAGAAAAGCUUAUAGACUUGCAAGAAACUGGUUGAUAUAUACUACUUAGUUCGAAGGCUACCCUACUAAUCUUGUUACAACUAUACCUGAAUAUAAUGCACUAGAGCAGAAUUUUCAUCACUGGAGUUUGAACCUUCCUGAUGGUAAAAGUAUUUCUUUCCUGUUCCGAGCUCUGUAACCCUAUUUGUCAGGAACUGGGAUGGAAAUAACGGACGGCAAAUAGGUUUUCGGUUGGUAAAAAGAACAUCUUCAAUAUGCUUGACCAUUGACUUAGCUUCUUCCUUCUCAACAUUUCCUGGAAUGAGACACCGCAACGGCUAUAAGAGAAGGAAAAAAAUUAGAGACCAAAUACAAUCAUACAAUAGGGAUAACGUUGAUACCUGCUAUAUAGCACUCAACAAAUGUCCUUGAUAACAGCAUUGGGACGAAUUUAGCCAAGUCUUCAGCUUCCAAAUGAGAAAGAGCAUCUAGUUCCUCUGUCCAAGGCCAAAUCUGAUUUUGUAAUACUAGUGAGCAGUAAUUCGUUGCUUGUUCAUAUGGUUGUUGGAAUUUGUUAUUUUGGUAUGCCUUUGUCACUGUUUCCUAUUACAGGACAGGGAAGCAGAAAACAUGGAUUUGGUAAAUCUGGUCACACAGCUUCUUGGAUGUAGGAGGAAGUUGUUAAUAUCUUACCACGUACAGACCUUAAAAAGGAGAGUCGUGGUGAUUUUAAAAGAAGGACGAAGUCACUACCAAGUAUACCUUGAUCACGGAAAACCUGUCAGGUUUAACUUCGAAGUUUGCUAUCUUUUGAAUGACAGCUUCCAGCAAGAUCCUCAAUUUGUGAUUAAAGCCAGCAAGAGAGAGCUGGAAAUGAGAAACUGUUAGUCAAACAUGAAACUCAUUGAGAAAAAUACACAAGGAAAUCUCAGCAAACCCACCUCAAAACCAUUGUCCGAAAGACUUAAUCCAUAGUCAAGACCAGCAGUUUGAGCAUAAUAAGCUGAAACAUAGUAAAGAUUGAUGAGAGCUACAGUAUAAAGAAAAAUAAAAGAUCCAAUAUGAAGAAGCAGACUCGUCAUCUUGAUAAUCAAAAUGAUAGUGAUAAAAGUUAUGAGAAUUGAAGAGAGCUAGAAGGAAUUCCCAGCAGAACCAUCACAUGGAAGCAUAUUAUAUGAGAAAACUUUGAAAAUUUCCCCUAAAUUUUAUCGUAUUGACCUUACUCGGAAGUCGACCUUUCCUUUCAGAGCCGUAGUUCAACAUACUUAGCAUACAAUCUUCUUAAAUAAUAUCAAGAGAAAGCCCUAGUUAAUAGAGAAAUGACCGAAAGAAGUCUAGCUAUCAAAUCUUACCAUACUCAUUCAAAUAGUCCACUAGCAACCAAACAAAAAUAUCCGAAAGAACCGCAGCGUCAGGGGAGCUGACUGCAAGGGGGCAGUUGAAAUCCAUCUUAACGUAUGCCUUCGGUUUGAAGAACUUUUUAUCAGGCUUAUACCACAAUCUUGAGUAUGAUGUCUUUCUCAACAAAACAGGAAAGAUAUCCUGUUCCAGAACUUGAUUACGUGAUAUAAGAUAACUGCUUAUACAUUAAAAUUUGAAAGACAGUUGUGAAUUGUAACUAGAAUGUUGGUAGAAACUGAACCUUAUCCUUAAAAUCCUUUAAUGAAAAAUCUGUAGGAAUGAAGACAUUAGGUGUUGGUAGAAGCAGGUUUACAUCAGGGGCAGACUGCACCCACUCCUGUAAUUGUUAAGCACAAACAAAAAUUGAACUUCCUCCAAACAGAAUAUAAGUUUGAGCACCGGAGAAUAAACAUGCAAGUAUAAUCGGAUCUUCAAGAAAUUAAUACAUUAAAAGCCAACCUGAAUAGUGAAUUUGGUUAUCUUCUCAAGAGAAUAAGCAGUGUUAUACCAUGGCUCAACCUUGUCAGUUUGACCUUCAAAUUUAUUUGACUCCCAAAAGAUUCUACAUAUAUAAUGGCAUUAGAUUCUGUGACAUGACGAGCUUACUAGGCCGUAAGCAGUCAGGAUUUCAAUGCUUAAACUAUCUGUAAAUUCUAUGAACAUGACACAUUGGGGACUGAGGGCUGCUUAAAGUAAACCGCCAAAAAGCUAAUGGAAAUUUUGCAUAAAAUAGAGAUCAUAUGGCCGAUAGCAAUAAAAACAUUUAGCACCGUCCUCAGCUUUUCUCAGAAUGAAUGGGACAAAUACAAAAUUAGCUUGGUGAAAACCUAUUGAGAUUAUAAGACAUUUAGAAAAUAGUAGGCAGCAAGGCAUGCAUUCCAGGAACAGAGACUUACCGAACAUUAUUGGGAGAAAGCUCAUCGAGAACCUUUUGUACAAUAGCUGGAUUAAAUUUCGAAGGCAGUGAUGAUCCAACUAGCCAAUGCUUGGUUGGAUAUAUCUGAAGCAUAAUUGCAAAAGGACACAGAAGAUUUUUUCAAAAAUAUACAAAAAAAAUGUCUAGCCAAGAAACCAAGUUCCCGAACUUCAGCCACAGAGAUCAAAUUUCAUAUAGGUGAACUAGAAAUGCUUGAUAAGAUUGUAAGAGGUAAACAUCUAUUCCACUUCUUGUUCAUCAUAAAGGCCAUAUACAUAUAUCAAGCAAAAAUAGGUAUAUAAGAAGCUUAAACGAUAUAAAAAGUAUGAUAUGUGGAUUGAACAGCUGAAAAAUACUAUUACCGUCAUGUUUGAUGAAAUAUCCACUGCAUAAGAAAUUGGGUCUAUUUUGCCUUGAUAAUGAAAUUCUGCCUCACAUAUAGCUGAGAGCUAUAACAACAAUAACAGAUGUAUCAUAAAGAAAACUAGGCAGAUUAAAAGCAGACAGCAACACAAAAGGUGGAAACUUAGUAACACCAAUACCUCAUCAAAAAUCCACUGGGAAACACCAGACUGUUGUAAAACCUUAAUGUGUUUGAACAAUAACCCUAAAAUAUCUUGCAUAUGCUCUGUAUACCAAUCAAGAAAUCAAACCAAAUUCAGAAAAUAUCAGGUACUGACUAAAACAUCAAGCACACCGAUACCAUCUAAUCAACAUAAGAAUAUUAGAACAAAACAAAGAAGAAUGCAGAAACCCACCAUGACCAGCAUCAGUAAGAUCAAUCGAAACAUUGAAGAAAGAAUAUUCCAUACUCCAGUCUGCUUCGCCAGCAUACAGUCCUGUUGCCCAACCUGUGCAAAUAUUAGGAAGAAUUAAGCAAGAGUCUAGAUGUCGAGCUGCUAAUAGCCUAAUGCACACGUUCACAUCAUAAAAAAUUAAGUAAACAAGCAGCUGAGAAAUAAAACCCUAUUCGACUAGAAUGGAACUUCUCUAGCCAGCUCCACAAAAUCCUCCAAUGUUACUGUCUAGCCAUAAGCUUUUUAGUGCAGCCUAUAUGACACGCUAAGAAAUGGCAGAAUUUUUCUAGCUAACAUCUACUGUUGAAGCAACAAAUAGCUGUAGUUUCUGAAGCACUUCAAUAAAUAUCUGUGAGACAACCUAAAAAGUGUGCGUAGUAUUCACAGCAGAUAAGAACAAGGAAAAUAAAGAUCAAGCAAGCAACAACUUCGAAAUUCAUACAGAGGAAACAAUUAAUCUUUCAGAUUUCUAGUCACUAUUAGCAGCAACAGCUUAUCCUCCAAAAAAUAAAGACAUAAGUAUGAAAACCAGAAUUAGAGAGCUGAAGCCUACAAUUACUUUGCAAUUUAUCUCUUUCAGGUAGAAUCUGCUCAAAAUUUUAUUAGUUUGGCCUUAAAGAAAACCUACCUAAGAUUUUUAAGGCAUGAAACAAACUUCCUUCGCCUUCAUGACCAAUUAGAUCACCAAGAUACCUGCAUGGUGCCUCUUCAUAAUGAUAGAUGCUAGGAGUUACAGGCCAUGAAACACUAAGCUCGUGACCCUGCAUUAUAGGAACCGCCUUCACGAGAACCUAAAACCAAUGAAAGCCACAACCACAGAAGAUACCACCUUAGAAACAUUCUAGCAUGAAUUUAUCUUCGUUUACUGUAAAUGCUAAAGCUAGAAUAAGGAACAAAACCUGCAAAUGGUCUAGAGUACACGGCUGACCAGGAAAUCUAGGAAUACCCUGGUUAGUGUUUCGAAUUCCCUGGAACAACUCUUCCACUAGACCUUGAGUUUUAUCAAGAUUUUCUGAAGAAAUCCAGAGCAAAGAGAUGUAUAAAUGUUAUAUAUACUAAUACUUUUGUUUUCUGAAAGUAAUAAAAAUCUGAGUUUUGGGUUAGCUCCUAAACGUACCCUUGCCAUAAACAACCAAAUGCAUGAUGUUGGCAGAAUAGUGUUCAUCAUAGAAUUUAAUUAGUUCACUCCUUGUAUCCACUCCAUUUGCUUGGGGUCGUACAUGAAGAGUAUCCAUGUUCCCUAAGCAAAAAUAUCACUUUCUUAGCAGGAUAUAUAAAAUUGGGAAGGACCACUGACUUUUCUUAUGCAUCACAGCACCAAAUCUUGUUCCAUGAACGCCAGUCAAUACCAAAUAAGAAUAGGUCGAAGAUAAACCUGUGUUAAAUCUGUGAUAUGGAUGGUCUUCUCUACUUAACUGCUUCUGUAACUGUGUCAAAGAAAAAAGAAGACAAAGUUCAACUUAGAUGUUACAAACACAUCAACAGACUUGUUCAAAAGAAAACCAAUGAACAGUGCCAAUAACCAGAUGGAUAGAUAUAGUACAAUUAACCCAGAUAUUUGUUCUACAGAGAAGGGAAAAAUACCUGGCCCAUACGCCAAGAAUCAGACAACAAGUUUUUCUGAUGCUCUGGAUGGGAGAACUUGUUAGAAUUUGUAUUAUUAACAAAUUUCAACAGGAAAGCUACAGAGAAAUUCAAAAUUUAACCAGAGUCGACAGCCUUGAUCUCCCUCAUGGUGGCAUCAGUUGACAUGAGUGGUUGGAUAAAGAACUGUGCAAACCUGGUGAGGCAAUAACAUAAGAAGUCAAAAUGAAAAUUAGUAAGCAAGAGAGAAUAAAAAACAAACAAAUGGAAGUCCACCUGUCCAAAGCUUCAUCAAAAGAAUCAGUGUUGAUAUCGAAAUGGUAGUUUGUAUCUUCACUGGAUGUAUAAGCAUUUGUGCUUCCUCCAUGCUAAAAAAGAAAACAGGAUUCCAAUAAGCACAUCCCAUUUUCUUCCUAAUAAAAGUUUCCUUAAACUAAGAGAAGAGACCGAUGGAAGAAGAUCAAAUUACGAGCAAGAUUAUAUGCCAGAGCUGGAUAAGAACAUUACCUCUGUAAUAUUCUUGGAGUAACUAUCUUCCUCAGGGUAUUUUUGACUAGCAUAAAACAGCAUAUGCUCUGACCCCCCAAAAAUAAUAAAACGAGCAGCAUAAAAUCACAAGUUAUUCACCAUGGCCAUCAAAAUCCACACUAAAAAUCGACUUCAGAUCACAGGAAAGAGUUGAUAAAUCACUGUUUAUAGAGACAGUUGAGACUCAGCUCAGUGAUUGAAUCCUGGUAUGAAGAAGAGAAGCAUUAAAACACGAGAAUAAAAGUACCAAGGAAAUGAGCUAGCCCUUCCAACCCUUGUGGGUCCGAAAACGAUCCAACGCUAACGUUCAUAGAAGCAGCACACUAGAAUGAAUGAAGCAGGUAAACACAGAUAAAAUUUCAGCUCUUGUUUGUUUUAGCAGCAAAAUUAUAACAGGAAUCGAGUUUUACCUUGUCAGUCUCUGGGUCGCUGAUUAGCAACACCUCCAGCGAAUUCUUCAGAACAAUCCUCCUAUAGUCUCUCUUGUCAGUGCGUGGCUUCAGUAUCUCGCCACAUUCACCAGACGCCGCUGUCUUCGCCGUCGCGUUCUCCGUUCCAACCAGCAUCAUCUCCGUUCGAUUACUUGGGAUUGUUUAGUAGGCAUCUCUUAUGAAUGUCUCUACUACGUCUUUCAUUUAUUUUCGAAGAGGAAGCAAGCAAGGACAAUAAAUUAUCUAGUGUGGUACAGUCUACUGUCUACAUAGGACCCACAUGUUGGUAAAGAUCCGACGGUGAGAAAAGCCAAUUUUUAGUCUUUCUUUUAUCGUGUGACUGUGAGGCGAGAAGAAAUUAUCCAGUGUGGUUUUUUCGUAUUAACGGUGUAUGUUAUCGAUGAUUGUGAGCCUCUCUCUAUGUUUCCAAAAGCUUAAUUUGGCAGCCAUUUUGAACUGUAUAUAUAGUGAGAACUAAAAGCAUAUGUUCCAUUGGAUAGAGGACACUAUAAUCAGAGGAACUUUCUCAAAGAAUAUAAUAUAAACUCUGUGAUUGAAUGUAAAAGAAUAAUACAAUGUAACUCGUUUAUGCUUAUAUGAGAGGCAAGGACUCUAGUGCUUAACAUUUGUGACAAAAUUGUCUCAACAAGAACAGAGUAAGUUUGACCUGAAGAGGCAAAAAGAACAAGAGAUCUACCCAAUGUUGAACAAAAUCCAUAACAGAAGAAAUGCACAAUUGGCUAACAAAACAACUCAAAGAAUAUGGAGUUUCUUUUCUUCCUUUACAUGGCUGUGUUACAAAGAAUGAUACAAUCACACAAAUAUAAAACCACUUCACUUCACUUCCCUUCUUCUAGGCUUUAGAAGUGCCACGAUGAUCCUUAUCGAUAUGCUUCAAUAGAUCCACCGGAUCACGAAACCCUCUGCUACAUUUAGGACAAACAUCAACUGUAACUUUGCCACAAUUCUGUUUUCCAUUCUUCUCUUGCGUUUUCCCUGAAUUACCAUCACUACCACUCGCAAACUGUAACUUCUGGCUAAUAUCGUUACCGAGUCUGCUUAUACUUGCUUCCGCAGAAGCGAAAAGACUAGACCAUCUCGAAGAAGACGAUGAUGAUGAUGGUGGAGGAGCUUCUUUUGUGUUUGUACUCAAGAAACCCAUGAAUGAGAAACUCGAGUCAGGCUUCUUGGGUCCAGAACAACUAUGAUCAGGUCCAAACCGAUGUUUCAAACAAUGAUCGAUGCUGCAAUCUCGACAUUUUAUAGUGUUAGAGAAUGUCAAGAGUUCUCUGCAUCUUGGAACAGGACAUUUCUUCUUCUUGACAGCUUUUUCGUAGUUAGAGGGAUCACAAUCUGUAUUAACAUGUUUCUCCCAGGUAAUGUUGGGAUCUUCGUCAGGGUUUAAUCUAACUCCUUUAGCACAUAAAGGACAGAUAACCACAGUGACAUCUCCUCUGUUUCCUUUUGGACAAUCGUGUUUCAUAUAGCUACGAUGAUCCAGACAAAACACCUUCAAUUAAAAGUUUCAAGAUAUAAGCAAAUGAAUGAUUUCAAUCGUUUAUCAUUUAUGGAAAUUGAUCACAAAGAGAAGUCGAUUAGUCUAGAUUCAAAUCAACUACUGAAUUUGAACAUAAGAAGAGACGAAAUCAUUUUCCAGUCUAAAUCAUAUCAUGGACUUGAGAUUUGGAGAAGCCACGAUGAUACUCUAUUUGGAAAAACCAUGGCAUUGGGUCAUGACACUGUCUGAUUCAAUUUUGACGGUAUCAAAAAGACAAGGGAGAAAGGAACCUGAAGGCAGCGAUCGCAUGUGAAGGGCAAGAAAUCGAUCUGUUUGCAAUAAUCGACGGAGCAGUGUUUCCCUAGAUCUGGAAAUUCUGGAGUCCCCAUUGUUGAGACCGAGCUUUCGACUACAAUUCCGAGAAGAGAAAUAAGACAAGAUAAUGGUUAAUUAGAGUUUCCCGGCGAGAGAGAUACACCGGGAAAAGAAAAUCCCCAGAUUCCGAAAAUUUAGAUGAACAGAAAACUCGGAGAUACCGGGAAGGAAGAAGAAGAAAUUUGUAAAGGAAAGUCAACGUCAUUCCAUCUUCUUCUUUUCUUCCAUUCAAAGUCAAUCUUUCUUCUCUGUACCAAAAAAGAUUGACCACCAAAAUCAAAUAAAACUCAGACUGAUUUUAGGGCCUAGGCUUUGCUCAUAUCAACUCAAAAAUUGGGCUGCUCACCAUUUUAGAAGGAUAAUAAUUUGUUUUUGAAACAAUACUCAAAGAUGUUGGGAAAGGGCCCAUUUAUCUAGUCUUUUUGCAAGCUAGUAUUCAAAAUUACUUAAAUGUCUGAUAAAACAUAUUUUCCAGGUACGUAAACUUUGAAUUAAACCUUUAAGCUUUAAACACCAUAUAUUUUUGAACGAAUUUCCAAAAUUCCAAAUUUAAUUGCUGAGAUUUACUGACUUCAAAUUCGUAUGCUUGAAUUCAAAGUGUCAAACAAAUAUCUAAAUUACUAAAGACAUUAUAACCGAACAAAGCUUUUGAUAACACUUUAAAUCUCAUGUAACAAGAUAAAGUGGUAUUACUCUACUACGCUUUUGUCUACAACCUCCCUGAUCUUGACGCCAGGAGGCGUAAGCAAGUAAUCAGUGUGCUCUUGGUAUGGUGAUUUUGAGAAUCUCGUCUCUUUCCAGAAUUCCGGUGUAAGGAAUCCGUAAGUCUUUUGAAGACAAUCAAAUGUUGCCUGACCAAAAAACAACAACAAUUUGAAUUAUAUUAGUCAGAAUUUCGUAUAAUCAAACCAACUUGAGAGCAUUUGGAUUCAAGCAACUUUAAAAACAAUCUUACACACAAAACUAACAAUAUAAACCAAAUCUUUGAAUAAAACCAUUGUUCAUCAGUUUAGUACUUAAAACCAAACUCACAUGCUCAAACCAAUAACAUUUCAGCUAAAUCCUAAUCUUCGAUAUAAAUUCACUUAACUGAUAAUGCUUACUUAUUCACUGCCUAAUUCAGAGUUCAUCAAACCAAAACAGCCAUUGUUGAGUACAUACCUUAACGAAGUUUCCAAGUGUUUUCGUGGAUCCUCUAGAAGAAGUGAAGACAUCAUCAAUUCCGGCGAAUUGAAGAACCUUCUUAGGAACUCUAGCCGCCACAAUACCAGAACCUCUUGGAGCUGGAACCAUACGUACGGUAACAGAUCCACAUUUUCCAGUUACUUUACACGGAACCGUAUGUGGUUUUCCGAUCUUGUUACCCCAAUAACCUCUUCGAAUCGGAACCACAGACAAUUUCGCAAGGAUAAUCGCGCCUCUGAUCGCCGUCGCAACUUCCUUGGAGCAUUUCACUCCUAAUCCAACGUGACCGUUACUAUCUCCAACGACGACGAAGGCCUUGAAUCUCGUUCUCUGACCGGCUCUGGUUUGUUUUUGAACCGGCAUGAUUUUCAUCACUUCGUCUUUCAAUGAAGGGCCGACGAGUAAAUCUAUGAUCUGGUACUCCUUCACUGGAAGAGAAUGUAGGUAGAUCUGCUCAAGCUGUUUGAUCUUACCUUCCUUUACAAGACGACCAAGCUUAGUCACUGGCACCCAUUUCUCCUCCUCUGGAUCACGACCUGCACGGCGACCACGGCCUCUCGGACCACCUCUUCCACCGCCGCGACCGCCGAAUCCACGUCCGAAAUCGCCGCGAUCACCACCACGUUCCGCCAUUGUCAAUGCGCUCGAUUUUGCGUAGAACGGCUAGAGAAUUUGAUGCAGUUUUCGGUGAGAAACGGCGGCAAAAAAUGAGCCCAAUAAUAAACUUAGGCCCAAUAUAUGAUUCGUGACAUGUAAUGGACUGUUUCUUGAUUCGUUAAUUUUCUCUGUCACUUAUUAUUGCCUGUUUCUUGAUUUUCUUGAGAUACUUUAUUUUGUUAGUGAUAUUUAUAUUUACUGAAUAAACAUUAUUGAGCUGACACAUUGACAUUAAAAAAAAAUAAGAAGAUGCAGAGAUAGAACAAGAUGAACAAACCCCACCAUUGAUAUCACCUGCCAAAACUUAAACUGACAAAUAAAAAGACAAGAUGACCACAUAAAAAUCUAAAUUAGUUACAAGAUAAAGUUAAUCUAUAUAUGUAUAGUCAUGAUUAUCACAUUUAUGAUGCAAGAAUAAAUAAUGGUUAGUUGAGUCAAAGUGGAGUCAAUAGGGGAAGUAGAAGUGGCAGAGAGAGGCUGGUGGUCAUUGAAGGAGUGAUGGGGACAACAAAACAAACACCUCUUCGUUUUAACCAAAUGCAUGUGGUUUUUGGUUUUUACACACAUUGAGGACAAAUUGGGAAUUGCGAAUUUUAUUUUCUUUUCAAUUAGAAACUUUUUUAUUUACUUCAAAAAAUUAGAACUUUUUUAUUGAUCUCAUUAUUUAUUUAUUUAUUGAUAACUUACAUAUACACAUAAAUGAUUUCGAAGUGAGCCAAGAGACCUUGUAUAUAAAUAUAUCCUUCAAAUUCAAUGCCUAUGAACCAAUUGAGUACAUAGAAUCAUGGAUGGAAAAGGAAAAAGAAACCAUCAUAAUUUCUAUGAGACCAUUAGUAUUCAAUGUUAUAAAGAUGUUGAGUCUUAUUUUGUCCAAUAAAAAAAAAAAAUGGUUUUCAUUACUAUUUGUUUUAUUUAUUUAUUAUAAAGUCGAUAUAAUUAACCUCACUCUCUACUUCAAGUCUUAAACCUUUGCUCCCACAAGCUCACCUGAAACUCUCUAUCUCUCUUCCUUUCUCUCACCCUCUCUCUCUCUCAUGUUCGGAGUCACGGCAAGGCUCGAUGACCAACUCAGCACCACAACCACACCAACCACCAUUUACAUAGAACCACCCUCCCAAGACCAGCCGAGUCACAACUCGGACCACCGUUCAAUAGAAACACUCGUCGUCGUCUUAGCCGUCAUCACCAUUUUAUCUGUCUUAGCCGGCGUGUUCGCUCGGCUUUGUGGCGGCCGUCAUUUAUCUGACGGCGGAGACCACGACAUCGAAGGUUGGGUUGAGAGAAAGUGUCGUAGCUGCAUUGAUGCCGGUGUUCCCACUGUCGCCGCCGCUCCUCCACCUCCGCCGCCACCGGCAGCAGCGGCGGAAGAGCAGAGUAAGCCAGCAGCCGAUGAUCAAACCAAGAAGUGAAGUAAAAAAAGGGAUUCUUCGAUUUAGCUUUGACAUUAUGUAUUAUCCAUUAAUUUCGAGGACAUCUUCCUUUUUUUGUUAUGUACCUUAAGUCUACGGACAUUGAUUUCGGAAUUUCCUCGGAUGUUUUCUGAUUAUUAUUUCUUUCAAAAGAAAGAAAAAAGUAAAGUUCUUUGUGUACUUUUAACUUUAAAUAAAUCCGUUGAGAUUAGAGACCAACGGCAUUAACCAAAAAAAAAAAACAUCAUCAAGAUUUACUUUAUCCUCAUGUUGUAUUUUAUAGCAACAUAAUAAGAGGAACAUUCACGUAAAAAGUAAAUCAAAAUUUUUAAUACAUUGGACUUUUUAGUUAAGUAGGCCAAAACACAAGGGUUCGCUUAAACGCCUUGGUCCUUUUGGUUGAUUAUGGGAUUUGACAUUCUUGUAUAAGUUGAUUAUUGAAUGGACUAAGAGUAAUGUAGGCCACAAUGCAAGAGCUCACUGAAAACUAGGUUAAUUUUGGGAUUUAACAUCUUAUUGAAAAACACACUAUAAGUAGUAGCAUUUUCAUGCAAAAAAAAAAAAAAACGCAUAUUUCGAUUUAAGAUUUCAAGGCGUAGGCACAAACUUGGUCCAUGUGACUUGCAUCAAGUAUUAACAACUAUUUGCACAACUUGUUCUUUUUUUCUUCAGAGAGUACUUAAGAACCUAAGUAUGAAAUAUGUUUUCACUCUAUAUUUUACUUACCCAACUAUAUAUAAUGCUGAAAUAAUCAAUUCACUUUACUGAGAUGUUGCAUAUUCUUUUCAUUUUUAGUACUAGUAAAUCAAAAUAUUAGACAAAUAAUCUUAUUAAUUUAUUCAUGGAAAUACUAAUAAUCAAUGUUGGUAAUUUUAUAUGUGGACAACAAAUCUUUCUACUAUUUUCCCAUAUACUAUAUAUAUUAAGAAGCAAUACGUAGAGUACAAUAUACAUGUGUGUAUAUAUAUAUAUAUGUAUUUCUAUAUAUUUAUACGUGUAUAUGUAUAUUACAUAAUUAGCUUAAGAGCAUUUAGGAGAAACGGUGCCCUGAUUUUUAACAUUGGCAUUUUUGCAAGAAGCUGUUCCUCCUUUUAUGUUCACGUUCUCAAGCACAAUCCCUUGGCAUGGAUACUUCUCACUGCAAUUCAACGUUAUCGCCACAUCCGUCGCGCUUGUACCGGAUAUGUUCUUGUACACAACGUUUUUCACUUGCACGGCGGAUCCCUGAUAACAUAUUUCACAUUUUCAAUCCGAGUGAAUUAAGGCUAGUCUAGUUAACAAACAAAAUAUGGCUAAAUCAAUCGAUCAAUCAUCAAUUACUUGUUCUUCGCAUUUGUCCUUGUCGCAGUAGUUCUGGUCGAUUAUGAUCGGAUUCUUGACAUUUUCCAUUCGAAUGUUUUGAAAUUUAAUGUUCUUGGCAGUCCCUGAUCCUCCCUGAAAUCAGUAAUUGACAAUUUCAAAACAAAUGGUGCAAAUUCAAGGGAUUUUUAAUUAUAAAAAACUUUUAAGUGUGGAUUUUUGUGAAGAGAAUCAAAAUCAGUAACCUGAUAAGUCUUAAUCCGUACUCCAUUAUCACUCUCAGAGAACUUUGCACCAUCCACAUUAAUUCCCGAGACAUAAGCUUUCGAAUUGUCGUCCCCCAAGCUCCCAAUGCUUCGCAUCAUAACCAUUAAUUAAACAUAGAUCAAUAUUAUUUAUAUACUUACUUCAUUGAAUUGAAAUUAGAAGUACAUCAAUAUUUUCAAAAAUAUAGUUUUGCUACCCUUAUAUAGAUUAGGAUUUUGAAUUUUCAAAAAUGAAUUAAUAUAGUAAAGUUCCAAACUUUAUGUGCUUAGUUAAAUACUUCAAACUAACAUUACAUUUUAAUAUAGUUUCACUGCCCUUAUAUUAGGAUUUGAAAGCAAAAAAAAUUGUAUUGAUUUACCUGAUUCCGUGACCAGGGCCGCAAGUUAAAUCAAAGAUUUGAAGAUUUUGCGUUCCAUCCUCAAUGGAUAUACAAUCAUCACCUAUAUAAAAGCAACCAAGAAGAUUAUGAUUAUUUCUGAAUAAAUAAAUGAUUGAUAGCUACCGUCCUUAAUUUAGUCUUAGCAUGUCUUUGUUACACAUACACCAUUAAGUACAAUCAUAUAUGAAUCUUACCUGUUCCGAUAUCUGAGUUGGAGACUCGAAUGUUUUGAGUAUUAGUGAUAUGGAUACCAUCGGUGUUGGGACUAUCGCCGGGAGCAGUGAUCACAACAUUACUAACUUCAACUUUGUUGCAUUUCUCAAUUGAAAUCUGAAUCUGCUGCGCAUUUCUUACCCUCAGAUUCUUCACAUUCAAAUUCUUUAGAUUGUAUAAAGUAAGAGCCUGCAUUUACAUAAACACACACACACAUGCAAAUUUCAAAAUCAAACGCGUUCACCUAGUUUGGAUGUGACGAAAUUAAUUCUGUAUAUAUGGAGUUUUGUGCUUACGUACCGUUGGCGCUUUUGUGCAUGGCUGCAUUAAAAAAAAAAAAAUGUAACCAAUUAAUAUUAAUAUGAUGACAAAGAAAAUUUGACUUACAUGAUGACAAUUAAUUAGGUGUAAUUUAAAUAAAUGUACAUGAAGAUAUUUUAAAGAAGAUAUUGGUGACUAUAUGUGUAUACCUUAGAUUUAUCGAUUUUGCAUGAGUUCUGCCACCAGAUUUUGCCGUUGCCAUUAAUAAUCCCCGUCGAGCCACCAUCGAUUGAUAGAUUGUUAACGUCCUCUAAGAUAAGCCAAUGGUUUUUGUCUUUGUAAUCUGAUCGUUUCGUAGAUGCUGAUAAAGUGCCUAGGAUCUGCAGGUAAUCAGUAAAAAAUAUCAACUAAUUAAUAGGGAUUAUCUGAAUUAAACUAAAGUUGUAUAAUCAAAAACAAAUAUUACCUGAAAGUUACGUAGUGAUUUGCAUGGGCCUCUAAAUCUAGUAGACUUAAGGAGAUAAGUCUUCCCUUUAGGUAUUAAGAAAGUAGUAACUCCAUUUGUUGAACAUGCUUUUUUCCAUGCUUUCUUGAAGGCCUAAGCAUAUAUUUUACACCCAUACAUGCAUACAUCAUAAAUACAAAAUAAAAUAUAUCUAUAUAUAUAGUAUUCAUGUUCGGUACACUCUAGAUUCCGUAACUAAUUAUUGAUUAAAAAAAAAAAUUAUACCCAACAUUGAAAACAUGUAGAGUAUAGUACUAACCUGAGUAUCAUCGGUUUUUCCAUCUCCUUUGGCUCCGAAGUUUGAAACACUAACAGUUGAUGAUUCCAAAGUGGUUUCAUCGGAGCUUUUCAAGCUAAGAACAUCAUCGUUGUUAAGCUUGAUCAAGCUAUCGGAUUCGAAACUUCCAUCUUCAUGACCAUAUCCAUCAUCAACGUUGCUACUCAAAGCUUCACACAAAGAGAGCAUCAAAAGAACGCAUAAGAAAACAGCAAGAAGUCUGCAACAACGGGCCAUUUCGGUUUCGGUUGUGCUGAAAAAAAAAGAAUGAGUGUUGUUUCCUUGUGAGUAAGAUGAGAAUGUUUGCUGCUUUAUUUGGGAUUAUGUAAUAUGAAAUUGAAGAAGUGGGAGGUAUGAGUAUUUAUAGACGAAUUGAAGGAGGAAAAAAGUUAGGUUCAUAAAAGUUUUAAUGGCGUCGGAGGUAUGGAGAGAAAUUGAGAUUGAUACGAAAACAUCACUUUAAGCUUCAAGCCUUACCUCCUCUCCCCCUAUUCUUUUCUUUUCCUUUUAUUUGUUUGUUUAUUUUAUAGUUUUAAUUCUUCAUUGAGAGUUUCACAGUUUAGUUACGUUUUUUCUCGAAAUCAAUUUAGAAAAAGAGUUAAUUUUCAUAUAUCAUCGUAUAUAUACUAUUCACAGUAACAUUUCAUCAUGUGUAAUUACUGAGCUAAGCAAUGCGUGAUGUAUUUGCAUACAUUGAUAUCAAAAGUUUGAAAGACAAAAAAUCAGCAAAAGGGACAAGAAAACGUCGUUGUGUCCUGUGUCUCUCAAAGUUCGGUAGUAGUUUUGGGUUCCUUUUUAAUAUUUCUUGCUUCUUCUCUUUAUUGUGUGAGAAAACAAUAUACUGUAUUCAUCAAAUUUCUUUGUAUCGCAUAUUAAAUCUCAUACUUUUCUUAGAAAAAAGCUCUUAUAUUUCUCAGCUUGGCAUGCUUAAUUAUUUAAAAACUCUCAUGUUUCCCAGCUUCGAGUAUUAAACUACAUGCUUUUCUCAUUAGUUUUCAAAAGUUUCCUCAAACGACGUCAUAGACUUGUAAGUUGUAACUAACAUGAGAGUUAAAAAAAUAGACAGAGGACUAAUCUGGAUUCUUGUCUUGGAUAUGUGAAAAUCUGAAUAUUUUUGCUAUCUAAAAUGUUAAUCAUAACCAAACAUGAUCAAAUAUUGUAUUGAAAUAGUGUGACACCUGAUUUUCCAAGCUCUAAUAAAUCUUCUAAUCAUUAAACCAACAUGAAUUGGUAUACCGAAAUUAAAUUGUUAGGCGCACUCGUGAGAUUAGAAUGAACUCAUUAAGUACAUAUGUCCCACUGAAAAAGUGAUUGCUAUAUUGUGGACUUUUAAUUAAAUAGAAUCAUGAUCAAUUAUCAUUACUUUUUUGAAAUUAACACGUUUGCCAAACUUGUUUUUCGAAGCAAGUUAGGAUGAUAAUUGAUAUAUACGAACCGCCAGAGUAUAAUGUGCAAAAGUACCAAAUUCAAAUUAUAAUUGUAAAUACGUAAAUGGCAAAUACCUAAUGUAAUGAUUGAAAAGGUAUGGUAAAUAAUAACGAUGUAAUUCAAAUGAUUCAUGCCAACAUGAUCUAAUUUGUUGGAAAAUCAACUGAAAAGUUGAUCGGGAACAACUUAGCAUUCAACUCUUAAAUGAUGAAAAAUAUUAGUCUCAAACUCUUUAGUACAACACGUCUUGUAAUAUUUGUUAUGAUUAGUUAAUCAAACCCGAUAAUGAAAAUACCAAUUUUCUUCCAUAAAAUAAAAUAAAAAAUACCAAGUUACUUUGGAAAUUUUGUUAUGAAUCUUAUGAUCUACUGAUAUGUCAAAUUAUUUUGAAGUACGUAUUUUGUUAUUGAAAGCAUGGUAAGCAUUAUUUUCUAUGAUUUCAAGGUGUCUUAUAGUAUAAUUUCGAAGAAACUUGCGGCAAACCGGGUUGCGGCUUAAAUAAACCUAAGACAUACUACAAUGCAUGGGACAUCAAGAACAAUGGUGAAGACUUGAUGCCCAUACGUAUAUUCUCAACGAUUAAGAAGCACAAUUGAUCACGAACUUAUCCUUAUUAUACGAAUACUUAAUCUAAUUGUUUUGUGAUAUAAUUACCAAUUAAUUAAUACAAACAUUCAUAUAUGUAUACGCGCGUAUGGUUUCAAAAUAGGCAGAAGUUAAAGGCAUGUGGGUAGUUUGCUUGAGAGACCUAAAGGUAUGGUCGAAAGUCAUGUCUUUGGAAAUUUAUCUAGUCGUUGUUAUAACUUGGCCUUAGUUAUUGCUUCCUUCUUUGAAUUUAUCUCUUCUAUUUUUCUUAAUUAAUGGUUAGGAUUCAACUUGCUCAUCGUUUUCGUGGAUGUCAAUAUUUUCAAUUUUUCGUCUUACUUUUUUUUUUUUAAAAUUACUUGGCGUUGGUAAAAGAGCAAAGAAAGAUAAACUUAAACUCUGGAUAAAAGAUAGAAAAGACAUGUACGUUUGAAAUUGAAUGCUUUGGGAUUCCGUGUUUUUUUUUUUUUUAAUAAAUCCUAUCUGCUAUCCGGUUAGCUCCGAUAGGAACGCAUCGAGGUGCUACAUAGUGGACUGGUCCACUGUGUUAACGGUUAGACCCUUACGGGCUACCACUCUGUCUAUCCCGAGUUUGAAAUGCCUUUCGACUAAGUGAUAGGAGGUAGUCAGACCGCCUGCAUUCCGUGUUUCGACUGGGGUGAUUGUAUAUAUAUGACCUAAAUUAACGUUUUGGGGUUUUAAGAUGUGAAAUUAAUGGUGUACUAUGUUACUCGUUAGAGGUCCUAAAGGGUGUGUUUAGGUGUGUUACGUUUACAUGGAAAAAUAUUCGUUAUUUGAGUUUUUUACACCAAUCAAGUAAAAUAUGGAACACAAAUCAUUCCGUGUUGAGUCGUCAUCGAUUAUCAUAAAUGGAUUGUCGUAAAAAAAAUGAAUUUUGAAAAGACGAGAUGAUGACGUAAUCAAUGGAAUGUUAAUUUCGUUGGUGUGAAUAGUAUGGAAGGUCUCAUAAAGUUGAUGAUCAUCACAUAACUGACUUAGCGCUUGUCAUCAUUAUUCGUAUUGACCCCUUAAAUUGCGAACUUCUUCUGAUUUAUAGGUAUUGUGACUUGUAAGAGUGUCGGUUUUCGAUUUGUUUGGCUAAGACUUUAGAUUUGUAAAAAAAAAGUAGCACCAACAAUUCUAAAAAUAAAUCAUUACCUUCUUUAUAAAAAAAAAAAAAGAAAUCAUUAGGCUUUCAUUUGGUUUAUUUCCUUCCAAAUAGACCAACUAACCAGAAUAUGAUUGUCCAUUUCAACCAGACACUCAUUUUUUUUAUAGUUUCUUCAACGAGUGAGUGUUACUUACUCUUUGGGGAUUUGAGGUUGGCCAGAACCAAAACACUUUAAAAAACUCCAGUUUCAUUUGUGAGGAAAGCCGAAAAAUAGUUAAUUAGGAAUUUAGGAGCAAAUUAUUUUUUAAAGGAAUAUUAUUAGAACAAAACUACAAGGGGGCGGUGGAUCCCCAACUUAACGAGAUUACAUUAUUACAAAGCCAAGAAGAUACUACAACCAUGUAUUUCCUAAUUUAUUGAUACCUUAUACUACUACAAAAUGAUGAUGAAUGACAAAAUGGUGAAAGAAUAGCCCAAACUACACUGAAGCUUUUUGGUCUAGAUCAGAAUCUCAACAUGCCAUCUGAACAUUUCCUCACUUGUCACCGGCAGAUUCAAAGUCACAAGCCCAACCUCGGCAUCGUAUGUGAAAUCAGUCUCUGUACUUCCAACGGCGCAUUUUAAUGGACGCUGAGAAGAGUAAGCUCCAAAACGACCACAGCCUCUAACACUGAGAGAUAUCAGAGCUGUUGGAGAACGGUUAUCGCUGAGCGCAGGAGAAGCUGAAGAGACCUCUCCAUCGAAGAGUUCAUGUUUCUUGUCUGUCACGGGAUUGAUAUCCAUCGACUCGAUAGCCCCGCUUGAGUUGAACAUGUCUAGCAGUCCAAUUGGUGCGAACGAGAUGUUUGCAGUGAUUUCCUGUAUAGCCAAAUUUCCAAAAGAUUUAAAAGGAUUUCGUCAUUCACAUUAUGAUUCCAAGUUGUUAUCAAUCCAAGUCAUGGUAAUAUACAACAACACUAAACGUACCUUCAGAGGAGAAAUGUGGAAGAGUUCAUAUUCAAGAACUUUGAGGGUGAGAGGAAUUGAAGCACCUUUUGGUAGUCUUACCACCUCACCUGUAAAUCAAAACCAAGCUCAUGCUUUUAGUAUUGAUCUGAAUUUUCGAGUUUUUGCAUGUUUGAGGAAAGUAGAUUGAUUGAUUUUUAUACCUGAUCUGUAAGCAUAGACUAUUGAAUCUCCACUCCAAUCUUCACCAGCCACUUGAGAGAUUUGAUCAGCAUCAUCCGCACAGACUGAACCCGUGAGUGUGCCAGGAGAAGUAUCAUGGAUCUGGUUCUUCUUCGUUUCCUUGCACCAACCAGCACCUUGACAGUUGAACACACCGACAAUACCAGUAAACUUAUUCAUGUUCCAGAUCUUGAGCAAGCUGAAAAAAAAAAUAUCAGUUUUCGCAAGUGUUAGGCUUAGACUUAGGAGUGGAAAAUAAAGAAGAGAAGAGUUAGUUAGAAAGCAGGCAAACCUGAUUCCAUCUCUAGCUGGAUCAGCGAAUAAGCAGUCACGAGUAGGCCUACCCGGAAGCUUAGCACGAAGAACUGAACCAUCGGGAAGGACCAGCUUCCUCAAUAGAUCAAAGUUGUGGUUUCCUGGCUUAUCACUGCUCAUGUAAUUUGACAAAACAUAUCUCCAGUUAAACCUCUGAUUAAACAUUAAGUAGUCAGAACAAAAAUUAAGUUAAAAGAUGAGAUGAAGGCUUUACCUGACAUAGAUUGCGCAUCCACCCACUGCACGCGCUGCAGCAUGGUACUCUGCAGUUGGGUGUAGACUCUGAAAAACAUCAAAGCUUCAGUUAGAAGUGAACUCAUGCUUCUUAGACUUGUAAAAACAUAAAAUUUCUCUUUACUUACAUGGAACAUAUCCCAGUCAGGUUGCAUGAACUCUCCAAGGAAAAGGCUGUUGUAUGCAACCGAUGCAAUGUGGAUGGUGUGAGAAGCAGGAUCUCUUGGGUAGAAAUCAUCGGAUGCUCUAACAAUAGCGGUUUGUUUCGCGCUGUAAAGUCCGUCUGUGUUGUGACACAUGCAAGAUAUGCAACCAUUAUCUGUGAAGUUCCGGGCAAUGGAAGCUUCUAAAGCUUGAUGGUAGCUACGAGUGAGAGAGACUCUCCCGCCAAGACCAGCACCG